CUCAGACUCGAGGAAGCCAAGGACUGUUCCUGGGAUAAUCCCUCUUAUUCCACCUCCAUCGAUGCUGAGAAUGGUGAUUAGGUUUCCAUAAGUUGGAGGCUGUAGGGGUGAUUUUGGUCCUUCUCCCAUUAGGGAUGGAGUGAUGGAGGUAUGAACUUGAGUGAUAGAGCAGAGAAAAUGAGAGACUUGUUAUUUCAAGAGACUUAGAAUAGAAUUGAAGUUUCUGCAGGAGACUUAGAAAUGUAGAGAGACUUGGAGUUCUCUUUGAUAACUAGACAGGAGUAUUUAUAGACUCCUUAGCAUAUAUCCCUCAUUUUUCUUGCUCAUACUUUUCUAAAUGGACCUGGUUCAAGUUGGACCGCGGAUUCAUCAUUCGGGAUAAGUUGAAAAGUCCACAAGCAACCAGUAUCUUCUUGUUUUAUAGAAGCUAGCCAAAUGGUCAUAGACAUGACUCCUGGCAACUGUAGGUAAGACCAAAGAGAAUAGCUGGUAAGAAGGAUUAGGUGACUCAAUAAAGGUUGAGAUAGGAUGAAUUUUCCUAACUAAUGGAGUUUGUGAACAGGUCAUGGAAACACUAAGUCUUAUGAAAUGAUUCUGGUUUCUAGCUAUGUCUGGUGCAAAGAAUCAUGAUGGAGACAAGCCUAAAUGUGCAUACCAAACAAAAAUUUAUUAUUCAAUGUGCACAAAUUUGUGUUCGUAAAUGGAUGCGCUUGACUGGGGAUGGCGAUGAUUUUGAAAGAACACCAACUAGGGCAACGAAAAGUACUGGCCAACGCGGCACUUGCACCGUGAAUGACAAGGAACGGAUAAUUCAAUGUCAAGCAGCAAGGUUUUACAUAAUUUCCCGUUAGACAUGAUUUUUUUUGACCUAUUAACCUCAUGCUUUUCAUACUUAAUAUCUGUAAAAUUGUACACACCAUCAUUGGCUUCUAUAGUUUGUAGAAAACUACAUGGUUAUUCAAUAUUUUUUAUAAUUACAGUUCUAAGUCCUGUGAAUUUUAGAUGAUGUGCAGUGCAAAGACUUGGUUGACUGUUAGUUACUGAGGUUUUCCCACAUCUCCCAAAUGUUAAAAUGAUGAAAUUAUUGCCUAAGAAGCACCUGUUGCAGAAUCAUAUUUGGAGGUAAGAUAGCAGAUUAUAGCUAACUAAAAAUAGGUUGUAUUAUAUUAAACUACAAAUAGUUUUCAGUACUUUUGUCUUUAUCAAUCUGUGUUAGGCACUUAUUUAGCAAGGUUGGAAGUAUGAGGGGUGGCAGCAUCCUUAAUGGACUUCACUUUAUGUCGACCUAUCGUGGUCAAUUUGUAUUUAAUGAUUAACUUCACAUCCAUGAACGAAAAAAUCAUGUUUGUUUAUCAUGGUUAGGCAAAGAUGCAAUGCAUCCGUGAAGUGAAAAAAAGAAAGGACUGGUCAACUAAGAAAAUCUGUUGGUUGCCCUAUUGAAUUUGUGAACAAUUCACAGGAAGGUUCAAAUUUCGGACACAGCAUGGCCUAUUCACUUUCAUCUUGUGCUUAAUCUAGAACAAAAAUAAUACUACUACAGCCUAAUUAGAACAGCUCUAAAGAGUUGGGAAUUGAUGCUGUAAAUACUUUGUUCCUUAUGGUCUUUGCAUGUUAAUCUUAGCUGCUGGGCUUAGCUGGGCAUUAAUAUUCAGAAAUUCUGAUAAGUCUAUUGCCUGUAUUUCAAAUCCCAAAUUUGAUCCAAGCCAUAUAUAACUUAAUUGAAAACAGUAUAGAUUUUAUCUUUUCAAUCAGUGCCCUUGACCAUUCCACCGUUCCAAAGCCAUCCCUUUGUUUCUAUUUCAUGGAAGCUAGCUAUCUAUGCUGUAAUGCCAUCAAUCCAUUCCUGAUUCUUUGUGAUGCUUAAUUUAUAACCUCCGAAGUCCAUUUGCUUACAUUGAUUACUUACAUAGAAUUGAUAUGAUCAUGGAAAUAAAUAACGGAAGGAUUCUAUGCAAUUUACUUCAAGAUUAAUGAACCUACGUCUACUAAAAAGUUUUGUUUUAUUAUAUGUAGCUUUGAUCUCAACUUAUAUAUCUGCUGCAAUUCAUAUAUGAGAUAGGGUUUUCUUGUCCUCAUAGUCUGCACAACUUUCUACCAAAGAAGUUCACAAUGUGGAGUAUGAUUUAAAGGCUGGGAUGAACUGAGAAAAUGAGCGAAUGUUGAAAAUCUGAAGGUAUUUAUUAGAAUAGCAGGGCAUUUUUGUAUUGGUAAUAAAUCCGUUGUAUUUUCUGUUUUGUUCUGUUUUGUGAUCUGGUGAGUCAGUUACGGGUGUAGUUCUCUAGGCUCUAUAUAUAGGCAUGCUUUUGGGUAUUCUGAAUUGAUCUUCAGAAAACAUGAAUGAAAAGCAGAUUUUCUUUGUAGACCCUCUCCCUUUUUCUUCAAAAACAACUAACAUGGUAUCAGAGCUUUUCCUUCUACUCGCCUCUGUUCGUAUUCAUCUUUCUGUCUGAUGGCUAGAGGUAAUCAAUCCAACGUGCGUGCUGUGGUUAGAUUUUUCGACUUGUCACCAAUGGAGGAUUCAGGUAGCCCAUUUUAUCUCCAUAAUUCCACUGUCACUCUUCCAAAUGAACAUUCUGUUGCUGUCACUAGAGUAGGGUCUGUUGAAUUGUUUGAUUGUUUCAUUAUCGAAAAUGUUUUAUAUGUCCCACAGUUUCAUUUCAAUCUUCUUUCUGUUAGUGCCCUUACUCAAUAUCAUCAUUGCUCAGUGCAUUUUGUAUCUGAAUCUUGUUUUAUCCAGGACCGUAUGCAAGGGAAGAUGAUUGAGAUGGGUAGAUGCCGUGGCAAUCUCUAUGUUUUGAAUCCUACCAACCUUUUUCCUAUACCUUCUAGUGUCACAACUAUUUGUAAUAAUGCCUCAAAGACGGAACACGAGCUUUGGCAUUACCAUCUGGGUCAUCCCUUUUAUAAUAGGCUCAAUUCAUUGAAAGAUGUAUUAAAUCUCAAACUAUUUGUUGGCCACCCUUCUCAUUGUUCAAAUUUUCAUUUAGCUAAACAAAAGCGUUUGACAUUUCCAAUUUCAGACACAAUUUCAUCGUCUCCUGACAACCCGACUCUUGGUAGCUUGGCAUGUAAGGGUAUCAACAAAAUUUAUACCUAAGGUCCUUACACUAAAGUAGCAAAGCUACUAUAGCAUAGUGGCUCUAGGAUCGAACACUGGGAAGGGUUUUUACUUUAACUGGUGAAGUUCGGAGGAUGGAGUGAACUUUUCUUAAUAAAAAUUAGGUUAAGAUGAAAACAUAAAAAGAUGAAGGUGUUGUACUAAACUAACAUGAAAAUAGGUUAAAAGAUGGAAAAAGAAGUUUCUCAAAGCUUUGGAUAACCAUGUUUAACUCACUGUGUAAAAAUGGAGAUUUUGGAACUUUUCACCUCGAGUUGGGGAAGCAACUAAGGUGAUGCUUACUUCCCGAACCGGUAUGUGUUUAACAACUGAGUUUUAGUCCUUCAAAACUUACAAAAAGGGUAGCUGAACCUCAUAAAUGCUCUUUUAAUGAUAUAGGUCAUCUCCUCGACUUGCAAUACAAUGGCUCGUAGGAGAUAACUAAUGAACGUCAGUGGAUCUAACAAUAAGAAUCCACUGAGACCAAAAGGUUAUCAAGUAUUGGCCAUUCAAAGCAAGUCAGAGGGAUUAAAAGCUUUACUUUGAAUGAAAACAUUUAUGAUGCUCAACUACUUACAUUCAUGGCUUGGAAAUCUCCAUCCUGACACAGGAGCUUCACAUGACAUCCAUUACUUCAAGAAACUAAAAGGUUUUAGCCUCUCAUCCUUGGGGAUUUCAUCCUCCAAGGAUGUUUGGCUACUAAGAAAAUAGAAAAUAGUAGAGAGAAAAAGAAAGCAAAAGAUACUCUGUAUUUAGCUAAGUGUAAAAUUUACAUAAGUUGGUCUCCUGGGGAAAGUUCCCCGACCCUUUAAAAAUGAAAAUUACAAAACAAUAUAUAUCAGGUUGUUUACCCCUGUAUUCUUGCUUAACAACUAAGGAAUCAUCUAAUUGGUGGAUUACAAGGAGAGAAUUGGGAUUUAGACAACAAAUAUUUGAAGUAAAAUAUCAAAAAACGUCGGUCGCAAAUAUCUGGAAGCACUCAGGAGAAUUUCGCAGGCGCACAAAAUGGCUGCGAAAUUUCGCAGACGAACAAGAUGGCUGCGAAAUCAUUUCGCAGCCGAAGGCUGAUUUCGCAGCCAAAGGCUGAUUUCGCAGCCCUGCGAAAUUGGCCUUCAGCUUGGAGUGAUCUGCUUCCAUUGGCUCUAACUUCUUCAUUUCAACUUUGAUUUGCGAACCGUUUGAAGCAUUGGAUUGUUGGCUUCCCAAUCUUCGAAACGACAUAAAGUAUGCAUAAAUUGGACUUCAGAAAGUACUCCAAAAGUGGCUGAAAUGACUGUCAUAAAAAAUGCUUCAAGGUAGAUUCUCUCUUUACUUCUCCUCCUUGCAUUCCGGAUUGGUUAUGGCAAAGGACUUUAAGGCUUCAAAGCUCUGAUUCUUCAUGUUUCUGAGCUUUCCAUUGCUUUGCCAUGGAUUCCAAAUAACUCUCCUCCAUCUUGGAUUGCUUUGGUGAUCAAAUUACUAACAAAAACACCAAAACUUACACAAAGUGAUUAGAAGUGAUUGCAAAGGUCCUUAAUAUGUUAAUUGGGUUAAAAGGCAAUAAUUACUACUCAAAAGUGUUUAAAAGAGUUAAUUACAAGCUAUCAAAUAGCACUUUUUGAGUAGUAAUCAUCUCCUUUUGAAUUACUACACCUUGAUAUAUGGGGUUCUUUUCAUCACCCCACACAUGAAGGUUUUCGUUACUUCCUUACCAUUGUUGAUGCUUUUUUCUUGAUUUACUUGGAUAUACUUGCCGCAUGCUAAAUUUGAUGUCCUUGAUGUCUUUCCGACAUUUUAUAAUCUUGUUCAUACUGCAUUUGGUAUUAAAAUAAAAUCAGUGCAUUGUGACAAUGCUCCUAAGCUUUCUUUUUCAAAUUUCUUUCGAGAAAAAAGGAUUUUAUCUUUUCAUUCUUGCGUUGACAUGCCUCAACAAAAUUCAGGAGUUGAGCAUAAGCACCAACAUAUUUUAAAUGUUGCAAGAGCACUAUUGUUGCAAUCCAAUGUCCCAUUAGGAUAUUGGGGUGAUUGUGUAUUAAUUGCCACAUACCUUAUUAAUAAGACUCCAACACCUAUCUUAUCUAACAAAACUCCAUGUGAAGUUCUAUACAAUAAAGUUUCCUUCUAUACUCACUUUUGAGCUUUUGGUUACUUGUAUUAUCGUUCUAGCCUUACUCACCAUAGCACAAAAUUCUCUCCACGAGCCAUUCCUUUAGUGUUUCUUGGUUACCCACCUGGUUAUAAAGGUUACAAGUUGUUGAAUCUCUCCACCAAUGCCAUAUGCAUUAGCCGUGAUGUAGUUUUCCAUGAAUUUCUAUUUCCUUUUCGGUCCAUUGAUUCAAACUUUUCCUCUUGUGAUUUUUUUUUAAUCGAGUUCUUCCUUCUUCCAUUCACAAUUUUUUUUUUCUGUUUCUAAUGUUCCAAAACUUAUCUCACCCCCUACAGUCUUUACCAAACUUGCUGUCCCUUCCACUUCUCGUCCUGUUUGCCUCCCUAAACCACCAUUAUAUCUCCAAGAUUAUCAUUGUUAUUCCACAGUUUAAUCCACAUCUUCUGUAACAUAUCCUCUUUCUAGUGUUCUUGGCUAUGGUAAGCUCUCCUCUUCUCAUCAUGCUCUUGUUCAUGCCAUUUCUUCCCACAUUGAACCAACUUCCUUCUCUCAAGUUGUUGUGAUUCCAGAGUGGUACCAAGCUAUGCAGGCUAAACUUCAAGCUCUUAAACAAAAUGGUACAUGGUCUUUGACAUCUCUUCCUCCUGUCAAACAUCCCGUGGGAUGUAAAUAGGUCUACAAGCUCAAAUUUUGAGCUGAUGGUUCUCUUGAGCGUCACAAAGCUUGUCUUGUUGCAAAGGGAUAUACUCAACAAGAGGGUGUAGAUUAUCUUGACACCUUCUCUCCCAUAGCAAAAUUAGUCAUUGUCAAGUUUUUUUUUUUUGGCUCUUGUUGUGAUUCAUGGCUGGUUUCUCACUCAACUUGAUGUUGACAAUGCAUUCCUUCAUGGUGAUAUGACCUAAGGAGUUUACAUGUCCCUUCCUCCAAGGUAUCACUGUGAGGGGGAGUCCUCACCUUCCAAUGUUGUUUGCAAGCUCUACAAGUCAAUUUAUGGGUUGAAACAAGCUUCUGGAUAGUGGUUUGCAAAAUUUUAUGGUAUUCUGUUAGCUAAAGGUUUCACACAAUCAAUUGUGGAUCAUUCCUUGUUUACCAAAUAUGAUGGUGACUCCCAUAUUGCCUUAUUGGCAUAUGUUGAUGACGUUGUCAUUGUGAUCAACAAUUCCAACCAUAUUGAAGAUCUCAAAAGGUUUCUUGACAACCAAUUUAAGCUCAAAGACCUUGGAUAACUUAAAUAUUUCCUUGGUCUCGAAGUUCCUAGGACAAGUAAGGGGAUUUCAGUUAGCCAAAUACAUCACGCUCUUCAAUUGCUAUCUGAUAUAGGUUUUUUGGGAUGUAAACCUACAAGUACACGAAUGGAAGCUAAUAUCCAACUUUCUCAAGAUGAUGGGGAGAUUCUUGAAGAUGCUGGAUUGUAUAGGUGAUUGAUUAGCAAGCUCCUAUAUCUCACAAUCAUGCAACCUGAUCUAUCUUACUCAGUUAAUCGACUUAGUCAGUAUCUUGCCAACCCAAGAUCUACUCACUUGCAAGCUGUUCAUCGAAUUUUACAAUAUAUUAAAGGUACAAUUGGCCAAGGUAUGUACUUUCCUUUUUCUUCAACAACCCAACUCAAAGCCUUUACUGACUCAGAUUGGGGUGCUGUGCUUGUAAAGAUAUAAGAAGAUCCAUCAAUGGGUUUUGCAUUUUUCUUGGAGAAUCAUUGAUUUCAUGGAAGUUUAGGAAACAAAGUACAGUUCCACGCUCGUUAGCUGAGGCAGAAUAUCAAGCAAUGGAAAAUACCACUUGUGAACUAGUCUGGUUGAUGUCUUUCCUUCCUGAUUUUUGCAUUGAACACAAACAACCAACUAUAUUAUUCUGUGACAAUGAGGCAGCACUUCACAUUGCUGCCAAUCUUGUGUUUCACGAACAGACCAAACACAUCGAAAUUGAUUGCCAUCUUGUUUGUGAGAUGAUACAAACAGGUUGUCUCAAAACAAUGCAUGUAUCUUCUCAACAUCAAAUUGCAGAUCUCCUUACCAAGGCUCUCUUACCAACACAGUUUAAAUUUCUUCUCAACAAGAUGGGAAUUCACAAUAUUCAUUCUCCAUCUUGAGGGGGAGUAUUAGAAUAGCAGGGUAUUUUUGUAUUGGUAAUAAAUCCGUUGUAUUUUCUGUUUUGUAAUCUAGUGAGUCAGUUAUGGGUGUAGUUCUCUAGGCUCUAUAUAUAGGCAUGCUUUUGGGUAUUUUGAACUGAUCUUCAGAAAACAUGAAUGAAUAACAGAUUUUCGUUGUAAACCCUUUCCCUUUUUCUUCAGAAACAACUAACAAUAUUGAAACCCUUAAUUAACUAGCAUUUUUAUUUACUCUGGAUGAAGAUGGGGCUGAAGGAAGAGUGCUUGAAGUUAAUUUCCUUUGUAACCCAUCCAUUUUGCUUCAGCUAAGAUGAAGGAAGAAGAGAAAUCAGCCAAUAUAAGGUAGAUUCAAUUGGAGUUAGGGUUCUCUUACUUUAGCUUAUUGAAUCCUUAGGCCCAGCUAAUUAACCAGGAGCACCACCCACCAACAGUUUAUGUCCAUUGAUAAAUACAAUCCUAGUCAGUUCUACACUGCCACGACCUUAACCCCUGCCUUGAACACCAGACCUUGCUGUCCGGGAACGCUGGCCAGUAAUGGUUAAUAGAGUCCUAGGGAAACCACAGAAAAAUAAGACAUUCAUAGAUUUUUACAUACGUUCAUAGACUCUUGUAUUAACAUUUUUGACUCGUGUAACAUUUGAGGAAAAAAGUGUAAAAAGAAAAUGAAGAAGGAAAUUAAUAGAAGAAAAGAAAAUAUGAAGAAAAAUAAAUAAAAAUUUUAAAAUUAAUUAAUUAUUUUUAUAUAUUUCUUUAAAAUUUUAACUAAUUUUAAAAAUAUUUCAAUUUUUUAGUAUUUUUUUAUUAUAAUUUCAAAUUUAAAAAUUAUAUUAAAUUUUUUUUUUAUAUUUUUUAUUAUAAUGUCGAAUAAAAAAUUUCGGCACCUUAGUUUCUUAGGAGAUUUCUCUCUUCAAAUUCCUCUAUUCCCUUCAAAUUAUGUUCUCUCCAGUUCCCAUGGUUGGAACAGCAGCCAGUACUUGGGUACGCUAUGUCAUUUUGAUGGUGGUGGCGUUUUGGUGAGUUGUUUGUCACAAGCGCUCUGAGGCUGGUGGAUGUAGGUGGGUGGUGUAGUGGGGUUGGUGUGGCACUAUUGUGUUGUAGGUGGGGAUUGAAAUGCUUAAAUUCUGAUUCAAGCUCUCUCUCAUGUCUUUAUUCUUGGACUUUCAGCGCCUAUUUCUUCCGCCACAAUGUGUUUAUAUCAUUUGUUAAUCUGAGACUACUAUUAUGUGAUUCAUGAAAUUUUUGGAAUGAGGUAGUGCACAAUGUGUUUAUAUCUAUGUAGUGUGGAUUUUACCAUUAGCUAGAUACAAGCAACAGGGAAGUGCAAGAUAAUAUGUGUUCGUGUGUGCACCAGAAAAGAAUUUUAACCAGGGUGAAAUUCAAACUGUGGUUGUGGGCUAUAUCUACCGUGCUUCAAUUUUUUGAUAGGGAUAUUUGAUCAACAACUUUUGAAAAAUUUAUGAAUUCAACAAAAUAUCUCUUCAAUAUUAACAUUGCCUUGAAAAUGAUGAAGAAAUACAUCACAUUGACAAUCUUGUCAGGCUGUGCAGGAGAUAUAGUCCUUCUGAAACUUUCACAAUAUUACCCACCAUCAAACCUAAGAUAAUAUUUCACCCAACUUGCCUCUUCUCUUUUUGAUAAAGUAUCACAAUCCGUGAUGGUGUGGGCUCUUGCAUUAAAUUGUGUUUAAGCAUCAUGUCUAAUUUGUUUCAUUUGUUUUGCGAGUGUCAAACAUAUACAACUUUUUUCAUUUUUCAGAUUAAACAAGUUGGUUUCUAGGGAGGAUACUAGGUUUUGUGAUAGUAUGAAGCUAUUUGAUGUUUUCAGUGUGUAAAGAAGAAGUUAGAGGACUCCCUGUACUCUUUUGAUGAAGUAUGUAUGGGCAUUGAAGUCUUGAACGUUAAGCAAAUAAAGAAGUUGUAUAUUGAUAUAAUAAUACGAGGCAUGUACAUAUAUAACCUUAUGGAGAUCUUUCUGGUCCGCUUAAUUUCAAUGAUGUGUAUUUGCUUUGAAUUUGGGUUCUUGGAUAUGGUCUCAGUUGGAUAUGGCCAUCUUUGGAGGAAUACAAUAAUGUAUGAUCUCAAAUUUAACAGUAUCCAUUUUCUUUGGCAAGAAGAUGAUCUCAUAGAGAUAGUGUGGGAACUUUAGGUAAGAGGACUCUCAAAGAAUUGUAGGUAAGAAUAGUUAGGUGAAGUGAUCAAGCUGAACAUGAGAUGGAUUAUCCUAACCAGUCAAAAACACUAUGCGACAAAGGCCAUACUUUGUUCAUAAAUAACUGUGGUUCAAGUGUCUAGCGACAUGAUAAGGGGGACAUACCUGGUUGUUGCGAUCAAGAAUUGGUAAUUGGCAUUCUGAACAUACUUUAUUAUCAUUAAUUUUUUGUGAGAGGUGGUGCCUUAUCUGGUUGCGGAGGAGUCAAUUGGUGCGGCGAUUAGUAGGUAAUGGCAUUUCCACAUGCCAACAGCCAAUAAUACUAAUGACCAUGAAAGCGUCAAUCAGGGUGGCGCUGAUUGCAGGGCAACCUUGUGCAUCAAGAAUGAUUAGUACUAGAGAAUUCAACAAAUUAAGGUAUACCAUUCUGUUAUUCUUCCAUAAAACUUUCAACGCUGAAUGGGAGAAUAGGUUGGUUUUGACAACUUAGACUGUAGAAGUCUAAGCUUCCAUCUCGUUUUAGCCUAACUUUUUCCUUGUCCAAUAGUUUAUAUUUUCUUUCUUAUUUUCAGUAAAUUUUUUAUGCUAAAAACAUUGGCUUGUUCACACAUUAAUUCUAAUUAAACAGCAUGCAUGACAAUAAAAUACCACUAGAUGUUUUUCAGUUGCAUCUCUUUCAGCAUGUUUCAUAAUUUCGAAAUUUAAAAGAAAAAUCCUAUUCCUUUUUCCCCUUAAUCACUGCACCAUGCAUUCAAAGUAGUAAUUCUGUUUUGAGCAAGAUUUGCAUUUCAUAUGCAUAACAACUUCCAUAUGCAGUUACUGCUCCUUGUGUGACAAAUGGGGUUGAGAGUUGGGGUAUGCUUAUCCUUUUACUGUCAUGGUGAACUGAGAAUGGUUAGUUGUCCAUAAGCUCAAGGGCUUUGUUGGGAGGAAGAGGAAGAAGAAGAAGAAGUCCUUUUACUGUCAUAGAAAACUGAGAAUGGUUAGGUCCAUGAGCUCUAGGUCUUUUCUGGGAAGAGGAAGGCUAAAAGGAAGAAAAAGAAGAUACAACUGAUGUACGAAGAAGAAGAAGAUUAUCGUGAUAAUUGCAACUGGGACUAUAUAUAACUUGAAUAUUAAGGCAUACUACUCAAAUUUUCCACACUUGCCCUAACAAAUAAAAUAAGAUAAUCGUGGAAGAUGCUAGCAUAUAUAUCCUAAACUGAUCUAGGUAUCCUAUCCUAAACUACUUUAAAUGUUAAUUAAGGAAUGCAACAUCACUUAAAUAUUGUUGUCUUUCAAACAAGGCACACAACACAUCAAGUUAUCACACUACAUGGCAUUUAUUUAAUAAUAUACUAAUUAAUUGAACUGGAACUGACAAACUUCAAUUUAAGAUUAUUUCUGAUUAAUUUGCUGCACAUCCAUCUGGGACUUGGCAUCAUGAAGGCGUUUCUCUUGUGACAGUACUUCUGCAAACCUGUGACAUUGAGAGCAAUUCGAUCAGUAUUAAUGAAUGAUAGAAGAACAGGUGGCAUAUGUAGAGGGGCUUGUUUAUUAAUCCGGCAUAUUGAUGUUUAUGAUCACAUGCGUUCUCAUCUGAAAUGAAAUUACUAUGUAGUUUUGAUUCAAUAAUUAGUGGACAGAAUUUUAUACAGUAAACAGAUUUACAAUGAGAACUGAAUCUAAGACUAAUUUGAUACCUCAUGAGAGCCUCUUCAUUUGUCUGUUCACUUGAAGGCUCCAAAUUUGAUACCACAAUCAGUUGGCUUUAUAGAAAAGAAAUGAGGAUUUCCCCCACAAAUCUCGUUAGUCACUUUGCCACUGGAAAUUAAAGCCUGAAAGGGAUCAAUAGUAGGUCACAAUUAUUACAACAAUUCAUCACUCAUUUGUGUUUCAGUAAUAGAUAUACAAUACCGGAUUAUUGGAAGCUACUCCAUCAAUAAGAUUGAAAUUUUCUAACUCUCCCUGUGACAUAAUCUUUGAGAGAUAAGUUGGAGCAGCUAGCUGAAGUUCCUAUGCAUAUCACCGAGAGUAAGGCAUCUAUGCUUGGGUGCUGUUUGACCUAGAUCACCAUGAAUAUCAAUAGUAAGUAAGUUUCUUUUCUGAUAAUGAGGACCAUGAAAAAAAAUGGUGAAAUAGUACAUUCCAAAGAUUUUUGUAUGCAUAACUAACUAAACCUUAAUGUUGGAGAAGAUGGUGAUGAACUACCAAUUUUCUUGAAAACUUAAGUUUGAAGGAUUUGAGUUCAAUAUGCAUAUCAUGCUCCUUAACACUCUCAUGUGAUCCUUAACACCUUCCCUCACAUGCGGUCCCAUCCCCGCACGCAAAGAGAUAAACAAAAUUUGGAUUCAUAUUUAGAAAAACAAACAGGAGAUAUGCAAAUUAAGACCUCCAACCAAACUAAGCUUUAAUACCAUCUUGAACUACUAAUUUUUCAAAAAGCUUAAACUCAUAGUAUUUGGGUUCAGUAUGCAUAUCAAAUGAUGGUUAUUCUUUUGUAAUAGGAUGCAUAUUAGGUCUCAUAACCAUUCUUUUACUCAAAGGGUGUCUUAAGUUGACCCUAAGUUAAAUUAUUCUUAAAUUGUUAACUUAAAAACUUAUUAGUUAUUUUUAAAAAAAAUUAUUAAAGUUGUUUGGUAAAGCUAACUUAAAAUCUAUUUUAAAUUAUCAAAUAUUUGUUUUUGUAAUAUUUAGAUUUUCUUAUAAAAUAAAGAAAGUUAUUAAAAAUAUUUUCAUAAAUAUUUUAACUCAUGAGUGAAAAAGGUUAUAAGAUAUACAUGAAGACUAAUAUGUGGUGAAUAGCCAUAUAAUAAAGAAUGGUUGGGAAUCAAUAGUCAUAUCUAGUUUUUGGCCUCUAAUACUUUCUAUGACAUAAUGAUUAAAAUGGUAGACUGUUUUAUUUUUAUAAAGCUUUCGCUAGCAUAACACUACUUCUAACCUAAAAAAUGUAGAAAAUUUUUCAAAAUUAUUUCAAAAUAUGCUUAAACAGUUUUAAGUACUUGGAAUUAUAAAAGAUGAGAGGGAUCAAUUGUAAUGAGUUAUUUAAAUGAUAUAUUAUGAAUUCAAAAAAGAAGAAAAAAAAAAACCUUUAGGAGUCAAGAUACCUAAAACUUAGCUAAAGGGACUGGUAGAGUAUUUUAUGGAAGCAAGAUUCUCAAGCCUCAUACUCUUUUAAAAAAAAUGAAAAUAUCUUCUCUUUUAUUUCUCCUUAUAAUCUUUGGGAAAAAAAAAACGGAAUAUAAAGAGAUAUUAUAAAUAUAUAUAUAUAUUCUCUAUAAUUUCUCUUAAAAACCCCUCCAUAUUCCUCUUUAAUGUUGUGGAAAAGAAACUAAAAUAAAUACGUUAAUGCAUAUGACAAUGUUUCUACUUAAAGUGUAUUUAAUAUAAAUAUUUUUUCUAUUAGUAAUUUUAGGAAAAUCAUUUAUCAUUUAUUAAAUGUUUCUUUAAAAAGUGCUAGCUAUAAGUUAAUUUUUCAUAUUUUUAAAAUAUUUUCUUAAUUUUAUCAAAUUCUAUUUUAAUUUUCAAAAAUAAUUUUUUAAAUUAAAAAUACUUUCCAAAAUCAUGACACCAUCGAAUAAAUAUUUAUCAUAGUUAUCAGUUUAAUCACCACAUAAAAAGUUGAUGUGGUCCAAAAUGAUGUAGGUAGGUAGGUGAGCGGGAUUGAAUAAGCAUUUGGAUUGUAAAUUGUUCACUGUUUUUUAAAGUUGUGUAGUGAUAAUUUUUAAAGAAAAGUCGCUCCAAGAACCCUACUUCCACAUAAUAUUAAAUAAUUUAUACCUGAAGUUGAGGUUCCAGGCAAGCAAGGAUAGUUGCAGGAAUGAUGCCCCUGAUACCACCUCCAUCAAUACUAAGAAUGGUGACUAGGUUACCAUAAGUUGGGGGCUGGAUUUGAGGUAAGAGUGAUUUCUCCAUCUGAAAAAUGAUAAUUAUAGGAUUGUAUGCACUAACUUACAACAAGAAACUAAGAAAUCCUUGGAUAAAAGAAAGAUGUGAAGAAAAAGAAAAGAGCUUGAGGCACCAAGAAAGAUGGCCUUGAGCAAGAAAAGGAUGAGAAAAAAGAAACAAUGCUCGAGUUGUCUUCCCUCUUGUGUUGGAUUGCAUUGUCCAGAAUCUAUUUAUAGGCUAAUCGAGCAGCAAGGCACGUGCUAUAGAAUGCGGUUACUGACGAGUAGGUAAUGUGAUAUGAUGAUGAAGUCUGCUUCUGGCACAGAGCUCCUUUCCCAGGUAUUCUUUUAGUUUAUGUAUGAAGGAUUUAUCUGAAAAUAAAGUCUAAGCUUGCUGCUUCUUCUAGGGUAGCAUACCAUAUAAAGUCUAAGCUUGAUAUUUUAUGAUAGUACAACUAGCAGUCUGCUUUGUCAUGCUGUUGCAUCCUCCUAUUCUUGUAUUUGUGUGUAAGGGACAAAUCAAACUUUGAGGAUUGCAUGACAACACGACACUAUGCUCAUCACAGAUGUUCAAUUGUUCAGUAUAUAUAAACAUGAAACAUAUAUUUUUAUUUAUUUAUUUAUUUUUUAAUAUAUAAAACCAUGAUUUCGUUACAAAUAGAAGUAAACAUUUUAUCAGUGUUUUCAUUCACAUGUACACGCCCUAUAAAUAUUAAUCAUUUUCCAUCUCACCUGAUGAGAAUAAAAAUGCAUAAUAUACCAUUGUGACUCCAUGCAUGAAUGCAUUCCAUAGUGAUACAUGAGCUUAGCAUCUCCAGCUGGAGUUGCUUACAUGAAGCAUCCUUCCAAUUUUCAACUCUUUUUUUACACCUUUCUCCAUCUUUUUCUCUUUUCCAAUUGAGUUCCUCCAUUUUUUACCAUCAUUUGAUUCUUUCUUGGCUUUUCUGAAUUUCAUGUACUUCUUGAAUUUUUUAGCAAACUUAGUAAGCUCACCCUCCGACAUUUUCUCAUCAUCCUCACUUUCGGAACUUAGGGACUCUUCUUUAAUAGCUUUUAAAGCAAUUCCCUUAGCUUUCCUAGGUGAUACAAGAGUAAUCUCAAAGGUUUGGAGGGAACCUACAAGUUCAUAUAUCUUCAAGGAAUCCACAUCCUUAGACUCUUUAAUGGCGGUGACCUUAGCUCUAAAUCUCUCCGGAAGAGAUCUUAAAAUUUUUCGAACCACCUUAAAGUUAGAGAUGGGUUCACCUAGAUUGAAGCUAGAAUUCACAAUGUCCAUCAGUUUUGCAUGAAAUUCUCCAAAAGUUCCAUGAUCAUCCAUUCUAGUGGUCUUAAACCUAGAUGUCAACAUUUGAAGUUUGGACACUUUCACGACAUUAGUUCCUUCAUGAGUCACUUGGAGGAUAUCCCAAGCUUACUUAGCCGAAGUACAUGUAGCAAUCCUACGAAAUUCAUCCGUACUAAUGGCAUUGAAGAUGGAGUACAUGGCUCUAGCAUUAUUCUCACUUGCUUCAUUUUUACUUCUAUCCCAUUCCAAUUUAGGCUUGAUAACAUUAGUUGGUCUACCUUCUUUAUCCAACACCUUAGGUGGAGACCAACCAAAUUCAACGGAGUUCCAAACUUUUUCACUUUGCAUUUUGAGAAAAUAUUGCAUUCUCACUUUCCAAUGAGAAUAAUUUUCGCUAGUUAAAAAUGGUGGUCUCCCAAUGGAAACUCCCUCUUGAUGAGGUUCCAUGAUUGAGAUUCAAUGACUGAAAAUGAUUUUUUUCUUUAAAAACCUGCUUUGAUACCAAUUGAAAAGGUAAAUCUCAAUACAUCUAGAGGGGGGGUGAAUAGGUGUUGUAGAACAAUUUAAAAUUUUUCCCAACAAAGAUUACCUAACCUUAGACUUUCUCAAUAUCAAGAAACUUCUCUUCCAACAACUAUUCAACAAAGCAUAACAUCCACAAGCAAGAAUGUAUGCACCAACACUCUCCCAACAAUUUAUAAAUGCAAUACACAUGCAAAUGCUUCAACAAUCCUAAAAAAUAAAUCAAAAGAACAAAUAUCUCCUCAACUCAUAUCAAUUUACUUCAUGAUAUCAUUAACCAAAAUGAGCAGAAAAAUUAUUAAGGAUAUUCCAUGGAUCAUUACACUUAUAUCACCUCAUAUUUCUUCCAUUCAACAUGUUUGCCCAAGUAAUCAAUGAUAUCAAAAACAUAAAUUAGAUCAAAGUGUAAAGUGAGAGAAAGAGACAAUUAACACCGGAUUUUAACGUGGAAAACCUCCGAAGAGAUAAAAAACCACAGGCCUACCACCAAUUGAAAAACUCCACUAUGAAGAAUAAAAACCGAGUACAAGGUUUUACCUAGCUUAAGCCAACCAAUCAUUCCUGGACCACUUGACUAGUACCUUCACUUUCAGCUUCUCACCUUCAUCUUUCGGAGCACACUUGGAGUCCGCACCAAGCUCAAUCUUGGCAUCUUCUUGAAUCCACACAAGAAGAAAAUGAUUUUUUGCACAAACCCAAAUAGAAUGAGAGAUUGAGAUAUGAAUGAAGGAAUGAAUCAACCCAUUUAUUGCUCAAGAAAAUCCAUUAAAAACUAGUUUGGAAAACGUUAAGAGAAUUGGAUUUUCUUUGCAACCAAAAACCCCCAAAUUAGGAAAAGAGAUGAGAAAAUGAAAAACACAUGGAGUGGCUACAGCUCUCUCCACAUUUUCUGCAGUCUCUACCCAGAAAAUGAGAGAAGAAUGAUUUUUAAAGUGUCAAAAGAAACCUUUAAUCUAAUGGCUAAGAUUUGAUCUUAAAAACAAGUUAGUUGGAUCAAUCUGCCCCUGAACUUGGAUCGAUCCAAAAAUAGGGGAAUAAAAGCCUUGCACUAAAAACCAUUUCUCCCAUCUUUCUAACACAUUUAAAGAUUAAAAACAAGGUUGAUUCACAUUCAAUCAUCACACACUUGGCUACAUACCUCGGCCUCUUAGCAAAGUCUUAGUCUUCAAAGUCAAGUAGUCCGAAGAGGAAUUGGAAAGACGAGUUAGGGGACACUUAAGAAUUUUGUCUAGAAUUGCCAACCUAGCUAAACACUCACAGAAAGGGCUGCUCAACUAUGGAAAUCUGGUCGCCCUAGUGAAUUAGUGAACAAUUCACUGGAAGUUUCAAAUUUCUUACACAGCGUGGCCUAUUCAUUUUCAAGUUUAGCUAAACCUAGAGUAGAAAUAAUACUAAUACAGGAUAAUUCCAACUUCUCUAUAGAAUUGGGAUUAUGGGUACAUAUUGUCACGGACUUAGUCGUUCACUAAGCUCGUGCGACACUUAGGCAAGUCAAGACGCUUGAUCUUGCUAAGUCAGCCUACCCCCAAUGCUUAGCUUGCUAGGCUAAGAUGCUCACGACUCGAAAGCUUGAGAAGCUUAGUAGGAAACUCUUUAAAGAACGGAAGCUCUUAUUAACUCAAAGAAGCCUUUACAAGUGCUUGGAAGCUCACUUGCUUUGGUGCCUUGGCCAAAUGAGGCCCUCACCUAUAUAUAGGCACCAAUAGAACUCUCUGGAACCUUGGAGGGUUCCUUACAACUCAAGACUAUUCUAGAAUGUCCUACAUCAUUCUAGGUACAAGCCUAUGUACAAGUAUAUACAAGAGACUUCUGGAAUUCUCUAGAAAGCCCUAGACUCCUCUCAUGCCUUCCACCAUAGUGUAGAAUUGUGUGGAUUUCUCCAGGCUUCUCUAGAACCUUCCACACUCUUCCCACUCUAGGAGUUUCCAGAAGCUUCCUGGCUCUAUAUAAGCCCACAGGGAGGCUCAUUUGAAUCAGCUUGUGACACUCUCCCCCACUUAAGCUGCAGAAGUCCUCGUCGCACUUUCUACUCGGAAUCGCUCAAUUUGCUCCUAGAACUGCCAUAGGGCAUCUGCUGGCUCCCAACUAGCCUCGCUCUCUGGUAGUCCCUUCCAUUUCACUAAGUAUUCCGUAGCAGGAGGUACAUCUCGUCUCCUGAUGACCCGGUCUGCAAUGAUGUGGUCCAUCUCCUUCUCAUAGGAGGUCACGACCGUUGUAGGUGCCCUCUUAGACAACCCUUGGCUCGGAUCAUCCUUGUCUUCGUGAUAGGGUUUCAAGUAACUUACAUGGAAGAUAAGAUGAAUCUUCAACCUUGGUGGUAGCUCAACUCUAUAGGACACCUUGCUGACCUUCCCAAGUAUGGGGAAUGGUCCUUCAUACCUUCUCACCAGGCCCUUAUGCAUCGGCCUUAGGGAUUUGAAUUGUUGAGGAAGGAGCUUGACAAGCACCAUGUCUCCGACCUUGUACUCCGUGUGUCGUCGCUUCUUGUCAGCCCACUUCUUCAUUUUCUUAGCGUCCUUGUCCAAGUAUGAGCGUGCUAUGUCAGCUUGCUCGUGCCACCCUUUCGCGAACUUGAAGGCCGCUAGACUUUUCCUCGUAUAGCCAAUCGUUAGAGUGUGAGGAGUUAAUGGUUGUUGCCCUAUGGCUAGCUCGAACGGGAUCUUAUUGGUUGCCUCACUCUUUUGCAGGUUGUAUGAGAAUUGGGCUAUGUCUAGCAGCUUAGCCCAAUCCUUCUGGUUGGCACUACCCGACCACACCAAGGUCUUUGAAGUACACACAGAUGCCUUAGACUUCGCUAUUGGGGGAGUCCUUAUGCAAGAAAGGCACCAGAUCGCAUUUGAGAGUCGCAAGCUAAACGACACAGAGAGGCGUUACACGGUGCAGGAAAAGGAGAUGACUGCCAUCGUCCACUGCUUGCGCACUUGGAAGCAUUAUCUUUUGGGGUCUCACUUCAUAGUGAAGAUUGACAAUGUUGCCACUAGCUACUUCCAGACACAAAAGAAGCUAAGUCCUAAAUAAGCUAGGUGGCAAGACUUUCUAGCCGAGUUCGACUAUACGCUGGAGUAUAAGCCAGGAAGUGUUAAUCAUGUGGUUGACGCCCUAAGCUGCAAAGCGGAGCUAGCGUCCAUGAUGAGUCAGCCCCAAGGAGACAUAAUGGAUAUUCUAAGGGAAGGACUGCAACAUGAUCCAGUGGCUAAGAGUCUCAUUGUCCUGGCUCAUGAAGGGAAGACCAAGCGGUUUUGGGUGGAGGACGACCUACUAUACACUAAGGGGAGACGACUUUACGUGCCUAAGUGGGGAAACAUAAGGCGGAAUCUGACAAAUGAGUGCCAUGACACCAAGUGGGCUGGGCACCCUGGGCAACGACGCAUGAGGGCACUACUCGAGUCGGCUUACUACUGGCCUCAGAUACGGGAUGAGGUUGAGGCCUAUGUGAGGACUUGUCUUGUGUGCCAACAAGACAAGGUGGAGCAACGACAACCUAGAGGCUUGUUGGAGCCACUACCUGUAGUAGAGCACCCAUGGGACAGCGUCACCAUGGACUUCAUCAUUGGGCUACCCAAGUUAGAGGACAGCGGCUCUAUCAUAGUGGUGGUGGACAGGUUCUCUAAGUAUGCAACCUUCAUAGCAGCCCCAACUGACUGCACCGCGGAAGAGACGGCGAGGCUAUUCCUAAAACAAGUAGUCAAGUAUUGGGGGUUACCCAAGUUCAUCAUCAGUGAUCACGAUCCGCGUUUCACUAGGAAGUUUUAGACGAAGCUUUUCAAGCUUAUGGGUUCGGAGCUUCACUUCUCCAUAAGCUUUCACCCACAGAUGGAUGGGCAAACAAAGAGGGUGAACGCCUUAUUGGAGCUCUACCUAAGGCACUUCGUGAGUGCCAACCUGAAGGAUUGGGCUAAGCUGCUAGACAUAGCCCAGUUCUCAUACAACCUACAAAGAGUGAGGCGACCAAUAAGAGCCUGUUCGAGCUAGCCACAGGUCAGCAACUGUUAACUCUUCACACUCUAAUGAUUGGCUAUACGGGGAGAAGUCCAGCGACCUUCAAGUUAGCCAAAGAGUGGCACGAGCAAGCUGACAUAGCACACUCAUACUUGGACAAGGCCGCUAAGAAAAUGAAGAAGUGGGCUAACAAGAAGCGACGACACAUGGAGUACAAGGUCGGAGACAUGGUGCUUGUCAAGCUCCUUCAUCAACAAUUCAAAUCCCUAAGGUCGGUGCAUAAGGGCCUGGUGAGGAGGUAUGAAUGACCAUUCCCCAUACUUGGGAAGGUCGGCAAGGUGUCUUAUAGAGUUGAGCUACCACCGAGGUUGAAGAUUCAUCCCGUCUUCCACAUAAGUUACUUGAAACCUUAUCACGAAGACAAGGAUGAUCCAGGCCGAGGGUUGUCUAAGAGGACACCUACAACGGUCGUGACCUCCUAUGACAAGAAGGUGGACCACAUCAUUGCAGACCGGGUCAUCAGGAUACGAGGUGUACUUCCUGCUACGAAAUACUUAGUGAAAUGGAAGGGACUACCAGAGAGCGAGGCUAGCUGGGAGCAAGCAGAUGCCCUAUGGCAGUUCCAGGAGUAAAUUGAGCGGUUCCGAGCAGAAAGCGCGACGAGGACGUCUACGGCUUAGGUGGGGGAGAGUGUCACAAGCUGAUUCAAAUGAGCCUCACCAUGGGCUUAUAUAGAGCUAGGAAGCUUCUAGAGACUCCUAGAGUGGGAAGAGUGUGGAAGGUUCUAGAGAAGCCUGGAGAAAUCCACACAAUUCUACACUAUGGUGGAAGGCAUGAGAGGAGUCUAGGGCUUUCUAGAGAAUUCUAGAAGUCUCUUGUAUAUACUUGUACAUAGGCUUGUACCUAGAAUGAUGUAGGACAUUCUAGAAUAGUCUUGAGUUGUAAGGAACCCUCCAAGUUUCCAGAGAGUUCUAUUGGUGCCUAUAAAUAAGUGAGGGCCUCAUUUGGCCAAGGCACCAAAGCAAGUGAGCUUCCAAGCACUUGUAAAGGCUUCAUUGAGUUAAUAAGAGCUUUCGUUCUUUAAAGAGUUGCCUACUAAGCUUUUCAAGCUUCCGAGUCGUGAGCAUCUUAGCCUAGCAAGCUAAGCAUUGGGGGUAGGCUGACUUAGCAAGAUCAAGCGUCUUGACUUGCCUAAGUGCCGCACGAGCUUAGUGAACGACUAAGUCCAUGACAAUAUGCUGGAAAUACUUUGUUCCUUAUGGUCUUUGUAAAGCUUAUGUUGAUCUUUUUAAUUAGUGGCCUUGACCAUUCCACCAUUCCAAAUUAAGCUAUCACUUCAUUUCAAUACCACAAUCCAUGCAUGAACUAUUUUAUUCUGAGAUAUUUUUUUUCACCAUAUAUAAUGAUGCUAAAUAAAAGGAACUAAAUAAAAAAUCAAAACAUAGGACCCUGCAUCACACCUCUCUAGUUUACUUACAGACUCAAUACUUCACAUAUAUAUGCAAUGCCUUCUCCUGGUUAGAUCUUUCAUUUUCACAAAUUGAACCUAUAAACCCAUAUAUAAUAGGAUGGGUAACUAACCAUGGCAGAACUAUUACUUUUCAUGGAAGCUAGCUAGAUAUGAUCUAAUGUAAUUAACAAUGCAUUCCUGAUUCUUUGUGAUGCUUUAUAACCUAGGAAGUCCAUUUGCUUACCAUUUAUCACAUAUAUAGACUUGAUCUGAUCAAGGCAAUAAAUAAUGGCAAUCCUUUAUAGCCCAACUACUUUUGUUUAAGGGUUUUCUUUUACCAUGCAUACCUUUGAUAUCUCAACUUAUGUGCAUCAAUUAACAUAUAUGAGAUAGGGGUUCAUGUCUUCCUAGUAUGCACAACUUUCUACCAAAAAGUCUUGCGUGUGGAGGUAUGAUUUAAGGUCCUGGAUGAAAUGAGAAAAAUGAGCCUGCUUAGAUGAAGAUGGGGUUGAAGGAAAAGUGCUUGAAGUUUUCUUAGUAAUCCAUCCAUUUUGCUUCACCUAAUUAGAUGAAGGGAGAAGCGCAAAUAUAGAAGGUAGAUUCACUUGGAGUUUCUCUUAUUUUACCUUAUCAGAUCCCUAGACCUAGCCAAUUAAUUAACCAGGACCACCAUCCACCAAUGGUUUAUGUCCAUUUAUAAAUACAGUCAAUUAUAUGCUGCCACGUCCUUCAUUGUAACCCCUGCCUUGUAAACCGGUCCUUGUUGUUUGGAAACGCUGCCCAGCAAUGGUUUAAUAUAGUAUGAGAGAAACCACAGAAAAAUCUAUAGGACAUUCAUAAAUUUUUACCUACCGCAUAUUGACCUGGUCUCUUGCAUUCACUAUUUUGGCUCUUAAAAGUAAGGGUCUCCAAAAAGCCCGCGGCUCGGCCUAAGCCCGGCCUGGCCUGGCGGGCUAAAGCUCGGCCCGAGCCCAUUUUUGGAUGGGCCGGGCCAUGGGCCCCAAAUUAGGCCCAGCCUGUAGGCCCGCCCAUAGGCUCGCCCGUAGGCCCGCCACUUUAAAAAAAAUAUAUAUAUUAAAAAAAAUAUUCAAGAAAUAGAAAAUGUUACAUUAAUAAAAAUAUUCAUUGUUAACUAUUUUAUUCAUUGAAUGUAUACAUUACAUUUGAAAAUGUGGGAAAAGUUUACAUUACUACAAAAUAAAUACAUCCCAACUAGGUUGGCAUCUACUUAUUUGUCAAUCAUUUGUACUUUUCAACCAUAAAAAUAAAAAUAAAAAUAAAAAUAUGACAUACAUUUAGUAAAAUAUUUUAAUCAUUAUCUCUUGGCGGUGAUGGCGAACUAGUGAAAUUGAAAGGUUGUUCUGCUCUUAUUAUAUAACCAAUCAUUUCUUCACGACAAUAAGAUUCAUCAUAAGAAAAUGUUUUUAAAUUUCCACUUUCAUCUUUACCUAAUUGCAUAUAAUUUCUAAUAUCUACAUUAUUUUUAAUUUUACAAUUUUCAUGAUGCCUUUUUAAAUGACUUGUACCUGCAUUUGAGCCACCACUAAGAAGUUUGUUACAAAUUUUACAUUUUGCUUUUAGUUCUUUUUUAUUAUUUUCUAAAUUUAUUUCUAUUCUAUAAAAAAAAUUCCAUAUAUUUGAAGUAAAUUUUUUGCUAUCACAUGCAUUAGAUGAAGAACAAGAACCACUUGUCAUAAUUAUAAUUAUUGAUAAAAUAUUAUGCUAAAAAUAAUAAAUGUAAAAUUAAAAUGUAACAAAUAAAUAAAAGAAAAGGUGAAGUAUGUUACUAAAUUGGAGAACCGAAGCAGAAAUUCCUUCAAAUUUGAACUCUUUGAACCACCAAUGCUUGUUUUUCACCACCAAUAAUAUUGAAUAAUUUGAGACAAAAUGCAAUAAUCGGAAAUAUUGUGGAAUGGGAGAGAGCUUAAGAGUUGAGAAAAUAGAAAAAAAUUGAGGGUAUUUAAUAUUUAUAGAGGUUUAAAUAUUAGGAUUUAUUUAUUUAUUUUUUUUAAAUUUCAAGACCGUUCAACGGUCAUAUAUUUGAAAUUGAAUUAUGAGUGGCAUGUUCAACGGUCAUGUAACCGUUGAACAACCAACUCACUUUUAUUUUUUUUCAAAAAUCAUACAAUAUUUCUAAUAUAUAUAUAUAUAUAUAAUUAAUGCAAAAUAGUUACACAAAAGAGGGCCAGCUCAGUUGGUGGCUAGCUCCCUUAUGGUUCCAUAAGGAAAGGAGUUCGAAUCCCCUUCCCUUCAAAAUUAAAAAUUAUUUUAAUUUUUACCCUAGCUCGCCAAGCUCGCCAAGCCCACCCAGCUUGAGGGCCUACGGGUCGGGCACAGGCCUUAGAUAUAUCAAGGGCCCGGCCAGGCCCGGCCCGGCCUGUUGGAGACCCUUACUUAAAAGUAAGUGGACCAGGCCUAACAUGGGCACUGAAUUCAAUACCUAGGUGCAUAAAGGUCUUCUGUUUAAGAAUAUGCCUCAAAGACUUACAAUGGUCAAUAGCUGACUACUCUGCCCAUAUGAUUCUUCGUCUGUGCCACACACGAAUCUUUUUAAUUAUUUUGUGUCAAACAUACCCGACUUUAUAGUUUCUGACUUCUUCAGGUUUUUGCUUGUUCCAUAUCUAGCAGGUUUUUAACUUUUAUGGAGUCAACAAUUUCAAGCAAGUGACAUCUUAAAUGUUGUUUUCUACAAAAAAACAAAAAAAAAAAACCAGAAAUGUAACUCACUUGUAUCCAAUCGAAGAUUGUAGCAAAAUUGAAUUGCAAACCAAACACACAAAAGAAGUCCAAAAGAAUAUUUCUUUCUUUCACAGUUCAUUAGCAAUAUUACAGUCUACCCGUGAUUAUUCACUCUCUAAACAAUGGUUAUGAAUCUAAAUGCAAAGCCUGAGGGAUACGAUUGGGAGUAGCUGAGUAAAACAAGGUCAUAUCAUCUCUGCUUGUCCCAUUCGACCUGAAAGAAAGCAAGGUAUUGCUUAUCAUGCCUCCACUGGUGCCUCUAGUUCUGCUGCAUUGCUUGCUGCCUCAUCAAUUGUUCUUAUUCAUGCUCCUACAGUCUUAGCAAACCUGGAUACACUCACUCCUGAAAUGGUACAACAAAUUAUCAUUUCUAUUUUUUCUGCUUUUGGGCUCUCAGGUAAUCAUACGAUUUCUUCUAAGCCAUGGUAUUUUGACUCUGGAGCUUCUAACCAUAUGACGAAUACUGUUUUUUCUCUUUCCAAUGUUAGAAAUUAUGAUGGAAAUCUGAAAAUUAACACUGUUGAUGGCAGUUCUCUGCCUAUCAGUGCUGUUGGUGAUCUUUCCUCUUCCUUAAUUGAUGUUUUUGUGUCUCCUGACCUCUCGAAAAAUCUUAUUUUUGUUGGUCAAUUGGUUGAUAAUAAUUGUAAUGUCAAUUUCUCCCGUUCUGGUUGUGUUGUGCAGGAUCAAGUGUCCGGGAAGAUGAUCAUGAAGGGGCCUAAAGUGGGACAACUCUUUCCUCUUCAUGUUUCUCCUUUCACUAUUAUUUCUAGUUUUCAUUUACUUUUCUUUGCAUGUAAUGUUGUUGGUUUUGGACAUAAGAUGUGGCAUAGACGUCUUGGUCACCUAAACUCUGAUGUACUUCGUACUUUGUUUAAUUCUGGAUUAUUGGGAAAUAAAACAUGUUCUUCUCUUGAUAUUUAUUUCGAUUGUACGUCAUGAAAACUUGGUAAAAGUAAAGUUCUACCUUUUCCUCAUUCCGCAUCUCAUGCCUCACAAUGUUUUGAUAUUAUACAUAGUGAUCUUUAGGGGAUUUCACCUAUUGUUUCUCAUGCACAUUAUAAGUACUUUAUUACUUUCAUUGAUAACUUUAGUUGUUUUACUUGGGUUUAAUUCCUCCGGGCUAAGGCUGAAGUUUUUUCAGUCUUUAAGCACUUUUUUGCACUUAUUGAGACUCAAUUCUCUACCAGCAUCAAGGUCUUGUGCUCUUAUUCUGGCGGAGAAUACAUGUCUAAUGAGUUUCAAGACUUUCUUCAAGGCAAAGGGAUCAUCUCUCAGCGUUCUUGUCUUUCGACACCACAACAAAACGGUGUUGCUGAGAGGAAAAAUUGCCACCUUCUUGAUAUGGUAAGAACUCUUUUACUUGACUCAUUGGUUCCUCCUCAUUUUUGGUGUGAAACACUUUCUACUGCAAUUCAUUUGAUCAAUCGCUUACUCUCUCCUAUGUUAAAUCAUGUUUCUCCUUUCUCUAAGUUGUUUGAUCAUUCUCCUUUAUAUUCUGAUCUUCGUACAUUUGGUUGUGUUUGUUUUGUGCAUCUACCUACUCAUGAACGACAUAAGCUUACUACUCAGUCUGUUAAGUGUGUUUUCUUGAUUAUGUUAUCCCUCACAAGGGUUAUGUUUGUUAUGAUCCCUGUGCCUGUUGUAUACGAGUUUCCUGGAAUGUGAUUUUCUUUGAAAUAUCAAUAUUUCUUUCCAUCUCAUGUUGAGCUCCAUCUAUAUCUGUAUCUCUUCUACCUAGUUUUUCCGAAUCCCCAACAAUUGUGGAAAGGUUCAAACCUGGUUUUGUGUAUGAAAGACGUAGUCAACAUGAGUCCGGUUCCACUUCCUCUAUGCCCCAUUCCGAUCUUGACCCGACGCCUGAUCCUACUCCUGCUUCCACCACUCUUCGUCGGUCUACUCGUCUUUCUUGACCCCCUGAUUGGUAUGGAUUCUUCUCUCCUGUCUCUCUUGUUACUACUUUAUCCAAUAUUUCUAUUCUCUUUUGCUACAAACAGGCCAUGGAACAUGAGUGUUGGCAAAAUGCAAUGCAAGCAGAACUUCAAGCACUUGAGGAGAAUCAUACUUAGGAUAUUGUUCCUUGUCCUGCUAUAGUCAAACCUAUUGGGAGUAAAUGGGUUUUCUCUGUAAAACUUUGUUUUGAUGGCUCUUUGGAUUAGUACAAAACUCGUCUCGUAGCUUUGGGUAACAAGUAGGAAUAUAGGGUUAAUUAUGAGGAGACAUUUGCUUUUGUUGCCAAAAUGACCACGGUUCGUACCAUCUUAGCUAUUGUUGCUUCACAAUCAUGGCAACUACAUCAGAUGGAUGUAAAGAAUGUUUUUCUUCAUGGUGAUCUCCAGGAAGAGAUUGACAUGAAGCUUCCCUCUGGUAUGAUUAAUUCUUCUCUCAUGAUGUUUGUAAGCUAAAACGUUCUUUGUAUAGGCUCAAGCAAGCGCCCCAAGCUUGGUUUGAGAAGUUUCGUAGUACAAUUCUUUCCUUUAGUUUUACCCAAAGUUAGUAUGAUUCUUCCAUCUUCUUCCACACAUCUGCGUUGGGUAUAGUCCUUCUCUUGGUUUAUGUGGAUGAUAUUAUCAUUACUGGCACUGACUGUGGUUUGAUUACUAAGCUUCAGCGGAUGUUACAUACAACUUUCCAUAUGAAAGAUCUUGGACAGCUCACAUACUUCUUAGGAUUGGAAGUUCAUCAUUGGGCUAGUGGUAUUUUCGUGAACCAGCAUAAGUAUAUUCAAGAUCUUAUCACUUAAUUUGGCUGGUUUGGCGGACACUUCUUCUGUUGAUACUCCUAUGGAGGUAAAUGUCAAAUACAGGAAAGAUGAAGGGAACCUUCUGGAUGAUCUUACUCUUUAUCGGCGCCUGGUUAGGAGUCUUAUCUACUUGACCACUACUCGACAUGAUAUCUCCUAUGUUCUUCAUCAGGUCAAUCAGUUUAUGACUUCUCCUCGACAUCUCCAUCUUGUUGCAGUUCGGCGUAUCAUCCGCUAUCUUCAAGGUUCACCUACUCGUGGGUUAUUCUUUCCUACCAUAUUCUCUUUUCAACUUGUUGCAUAUAGUGAUGCUGAUUGGGUUGGGUGUCUAGAUACAUGUCGAUCUACUAUGGGUUGGUGUAUUUUUUAGGUGAUGCCUUAAUUUCUUGGAGAUGUAAGAAACAAGAUCGUGUUUCUAAAUCCUCUUCUGAGGCCGAGUAUCGUGCCAUGUCUACUGCUUGUUCUGAAAUUGUAUGGCUACGUAGUCUUCUUGAGGAGCUUGGGUUUCCUUAGACUACUUCUACACCUCUUCAUGCUGAUAACACUAGUGCUAUUCAGAUUGCCACCAAUCCCCUUUUUCAUGAAUGUACCAAGCACAUUGAGGUUGAUUGUCAUUCUAUUCGAGACACCUUGGAAAGUUGGGUGAUAUCUCUUCCUCACAUCUCUUCUGAUCUCCAAGUGGCUUAUAUCUUCACCAAAGCUUUGACUCGACAAUGACAUCAAUUUUUUGUUGGCAAAUUGUUGCUGGUUGACUUACCAACAUCAAUUUGAGGGGGGAUGUUAAUGUUACCAUAUACAAUUUAGGAAUCAUAUUGGUUGUACAUAUAGGAAUGUUAAUGUUACCAUAUACAAUUUAAGAAUUAUAUUGGUUGUACAUAUAGGAAAAGAUUGACUUAUUGGCUUACCAUGUAUUUGUUAAUGUUACCAUAUACAAUUUAGGAAUCAGUUAGACUCCGUGUAUAGGAUAUAUAUCAUUAUAUAGAUAGAUGCAAUGAAAUAUAAAAAAACUGAUCAAAGAUAUCGGUUUUUGUGGAUUUUUUUUUUAGUAUUUUGACAUCUAUAUGAAUCAAUCUUUAAAAGAGAAGCAAGAACAAUCGAGUAUCAAAUAUUACCUUCUCUAUGGAAAUAUUUUAGGGCCAUGCUCAAGAUAAAAGGGCUUGAUGUCUUUAGCUGCAAAUAGAGGACGUCUCUAAUCAUUCGGAGCAGUUAGCAUGGCAGUCACAAGACCACCCGUGCUUGUUCCAGCUAUCACAUCGAAGUAGUUUGUAAUCCUUGCAUCAUCACCAUCCAGCUCCUGAUAUAUUCAAUAUUGUAUUGUUUGUGGUUAGUGUUACCUAAAUCCAUUAUUUUAUCUUAUAUUUAAAGAAAAGUCACUCCAAGAACCCUACUUUGAUAUGUAGUAGAAUAGAUAGAGAUGAAAUAUGUGCAAACGAUCAUCCACAUGAUAUUAAAUAAUUUAUACCUAAAGUUGUGAUUCCAGGAAAGCAAGGAUAGUUGCAGGAAUGAUGCCCCUGAUACCACCUCCAUCAAUACUAAGAAUGGUGAGGUUACCAUAAGUUUGGGGCUGGAUUUGAGUUAAGAGUGAUUUCUCCAUCUGAAAAAUGAUAAUUGUAGGAUUGUAUGCACUAACUUACAAGAAACUAAGAAACCCUUGGAUAAAAGGAAGAUGUGAAGAAAAGGAAAAAAGCUUGAGGCACCAAGAAAGAUGGCCUUGAGUAAGAAAAGGAUGAGAAAAAGGACACAAUGCUCGAGUUGUCUUCUUCUUGUGUUGGAAUAUUGCAUUGUCCAAAAUCUAUUUAUAGGCUAAUCGAGCAGCAAGGCAAGUGCUAUAGAAUGCGGUUACUGACGAGAAUUUGAAAAUCAAGAAAACUCGACGAACAUGAGAUGGUCAUGGAGUGCAUGCAUGGUCUUCUUUGACAUUGUCCAUGGUCCAGAUUACGUUUCUGUGACCACACUUUCCUACAUUUUUUGAAGACAGAAUUUUCUCGCGUGAAGACUUUAUGAUUGACGAGUAGGUAAUGUGAUAUGCUGAUGAAGUCAGCUUCUAGCACAGAGCCCCAUUAAUAGGAUAUUGUUGAAUUGGAGAAUGUUUCCACACACUCAAAAUGGGGCGUUGUUUUAGCAUCAAGAAAUUGUCAUCUUCAUUAGCUUGUUGGAAUUGAGAUGUAUGACUGAUGACUUGUUAGGAUUUAUUUGAAAAUAAAGUCCAAGCUUGCUGCUUCUUCGAGGGUAGCAUACCAUAUAAAGCUCUGUCUCUCUCUUUCUCUCUCUCUCUCUUAUAAGGACAGUGAUGAUCGUCCAAAGAAGAAUUCCCAAGCAGGCAGAGAUGCACAACUGCAAGUAAUUACACACAGAAUGAAGGCGGCUGGCCAGAUUUAACAUGAGAAAAUCAUGAUUAAUACAUGAUUCUUCACCAAUAAUUGAGUUGAAUGAGUCCACUAUUCAAAUCACAUCGUUCAAAAAAAAAAAAGAAAACAGAUAAUUCAAAUCACAUUAUUAAUGAGUGGGCCGGUCUCAUUUAAGAACACGAUUUGACAUGCAAAAUUAAUGGAUCCAUCCAUAUACAACAUCUACCACAACUCAUGAGAAGAAAUUCUGGUUAUUCUAAUAAUUCACCAUUUUUCUUCAUGGAAUUAGUUAUGAAAUAGUCCCAAUUUAGUACUAUUAGAGAGAGUAUCAAGGAAAAUAUUUGGUAGGUGGGCGGUGAAUCAAGUUAAUUAGAUGGUGAAGAAAAACUAAUGAGAGAUGAACUUAAUCAACAAGGUGUACCUCUUUUUUCUGUUGUUACCUCAUAUGCUAUGUAUAAUAUGCUAGUUAAUCCAACUGUGUUAGACAUUGCUGCUACUUAUAAUUGCCGAACAAAAGGUAAUAACUCUUGCUAAAAGUGGCCUUCAUCAUAAGUGUUCUGCAAACGAACUGCGUGCUUCUUGAAUGUGGAGAUAUGGCUGCUCCCACGAAGUUUCCAUACCACAUUUUGAAGUAUAGCUAGUUCUCGUUCUGAUAUUAAUCCACACUAAUGCUGGCAGAUUCCAACACUGGUAUAAUACCAUGUUUUCCAUCUUUUUUUUUUUCCUGUAUAUACACAUAUUAUAAAGUCCAUGUUACAUGUUUAAUAACCAAAGAAAGAUAAAUUAAUGAACAUGCAAAUGAAUGCUCAUGCUUACAAGAUGAUUAUUUUGAUCUUCUAUGAUAGUGAAACGACGUUGAUCUCUUCUAUAUAUAUAAUUAGUACAACUAGCAGUCUGCUUUGUCAUGCUGUUGCAUCCUUCUAUUCUUGUAUUUGUGUACUGGGGACAAAUCGUUCUUUGUAUUUGUGUACAAGGGACAAAUCAAACCAUGAGGAUCACAUGACAACACGACACCAUGCUCAUCACAAAUGUUCAUUUGCUCAUGAAACAUAUGGAGCGGGCAACCAGGACAAAUCGACUAAUCAUUACAUGCACGGCAUUAUGUUCAUGAAACAUAUGCUAAAUAUGGCGUAAUAAAUUUUAAAAAAUAAUUAGAGAAAGAGUGUACGUAAGGGAAAAAAAAAAAAAAAAAAAAACUAAUUAAAAACAUGAUGAAGAUGACAAGAUGGUGAAAGAAAUUUUUCACCAAACAUUUGAUUAUUAACUAUAGAAACAUUUGACUAUGUAACCCUGCUACCUUUUUUUAAUAUUGGGGUAGGUACUGUCGUUUCAUCGAAAAUGAUGUUGUAUUACUUGGCAAACAAAGAUGGUGGUAAGUUUGGAAUAAUGCAAUAUAUGAUUUGCAUGCUUUAUUCCUUGGUAAUAUUAUGAUUUUUUACAAAAAUAUUCUUUAAUCGACUUGGGCAGUGUCGGGUCUAGAAAGGCUGCAUCAGUGCCUAGUGAUUCUCAAUCAGAUGUAUAUCUGGACCAUUAGGGAACCAAGAUAAUAUUUUUGUGUUUGUGUCGCUGUUGUCCUUUAAAACUAUUUAAUAAUUUGUUUUCUCAUGCUUGUAGUUUUUGAAAUAAAGUUAAUUCAGGUAGACCAGUUUUUAAUCAGACCUCAAUGCAACAUAUCUUCCCAUCCUACCCAAGAGAAGCUACUGAAAGCUCCUAUGACUGAAGAGAGACAACAAGGAUUCUAUCCUUCUAGAUCGACCUAGCACUCUCUUUUAGAUUCUAUCCAUCUAUUUGUUCUCAUCUUAUUUCUGGGAAGUUCUGUCUUACCCUAAUUAUCAUAUAUAUAUAUAUAUAUAUAUAUAUAUGUUUCAACCCAUCUCAGUGUCUCUUGUAGAUUUAUAAAGGAUAUAUAAGUAUUAUUUCUAGUCCAUUCUAAUUAAUUGCCAUUCCCAUAAUUUAGGUUGAUACAAAAAUAGAACUUAUUCAAGAAAAUAAUAGAAAUCAUUCAAUCUUGUCCUUAAAAUGUUGUGAGAAAUAGAGGUCGCACUAAAUCACAAUGAGUCUGAAUUGCAUAGACGCAAGCACAAAAUCAAAACCAUAGAAGAAAUUCAGUAAAAUCUAUGGACUUACAAUACCUUAAUACUAAAAAUGCUUAAAUUGGUUAUUAAAAAUAUCCCAUUUGGGAUUUAUUUUUACAAUAAGAAUAGUGAAUUAAAAGGCAGACAAUCAGAAACGGGACUCCAACUUAACUAGAAAUUCAUUACAACAGUAGGAAUCAUUCAUAUCAGACAACGACCAAUCCUUUAGAAGCGGCAGCAUGUCCAUGUGGUGACCUAGUAUCUCUACGUUGCUUCUCUUGGGAGAGUAGUCUUGCAAAACUGAAAAAUUAGAAGGAUUUUUUAUUAUUAUAUGAUUAGUUAAUUAACUAAGAAAGCUCUAGAAUAAAACUCUAAAAAUAGUUAGAUACCUUGUGAGAGCCUCCUCAUUGGUCUCGUGAUUUGAAGGCUCAAAGAUACCUGUAUCCAGGUUAACCCUUGAGACCCUUUUCUUUAACAACUCCUCACCAAUUUUCACAAGAUCAUCCAAAUUUUCCUUUGUGGCUAUGUCGACUGAUGAUGUUAUACCCCUCAAUGUAUCAUCCUGUAUUUACCCUUUGUGUCAGUAUCAGUGGUAGACAAGGAACAGAAGAAGCAAUUGACUUUCAGAUAUUUUUAGGACUGAGGAAAUUAUGAAGAAGAACAAAAUUUAAAUAAGAAAUUUGACUUUGUAAGUGACGGUAAAUUUAUGAAACCACAAGCAGCAAAGCUGUACCUGUAUCCGAAGAUAGCUUUUUUCCGAGUGAAGGGCUUGAAAAAGCUCUGAAAGGUGUAAGUCGAUCAUAUCUCCGCUUGCUUGGGUAAACACUUUCACUAAGGGGGUGGAACCACCACUGGUCAACCACCCCAACACACCCCACUUGGCUGCUUCAUCAGCAUUGUAUUUUUCUUCGGCUUUUGAUGACCCAGUUCCCAAGGAUAUUACUAGAAACCGGCCAUAGUCCAUUGGCUUUAUAGGAAAGAAAUCAGGACUACCCCGGAUGAUCUCCUUGGUCACUUCCCCAAUAGCAACCAAAGUCUGAAACAAGAAUCAAUAAUUAAUUGAAUUGUGAAAAGAAAAAUAAAACUGGGAAGUCUAAGAUGCAACUUCAAAGUUAAUGAGUACCGGAUUAUUUGCAGCUACACCACCAUCAAUGAGGUUGAAUUCUCUAACUCUCCCGGCAGGGUCUUUGGUUUCGAAAUAAUGAGCUGGAAGAUAAGUGGGUGCUGCUGAGGUUCCAAUACAUAUAUCUGACAGUAAGGCAUCUAAGCUUGGUCUGCUCUUCACCUAGAGCAGGGAAAUCAAGCAUAUAGUAUUAAUAUGAAAGUUAUUAUAGCUCCCGUCAUUCAUUACAAUCUCUUAAUUUUCAUAGUUUGGAUUAGAAGGAAAUGAAAUUGUGGAAAGAAGAUGAACCUGAUAAGUCGAAAAUAUUGUUGGCUGAAGGCGCUUGAUGUCAAAUGUUGGGAUAACAACAUUAGUAAGGGUCUGGUGUAAUCGUGUUUCACCUAGUUUUUCUUUAACAAGGUUGUGCAGAUACUUCCCAUCAUAUUUUGGUCCUGAUAAGGCUGUAACUACCUUUGUAACAUGAGGAAUUGGAUCAUGACUGCAUUUAAAAGAAAGAUCAUGUUAAUAACUACAAAAAAUAUUGAAGUCUAGUUAAUUUUAUAUACAUAAAUACUAGCAUCCUGUCAUCUUAAUCAAGAUGUUCAUCAUGAUAUAUUUGUUACCUGUGCUGUGGGAAGAUCUUAGGGCAGUGAUCAAGGUAGAAGUCCUUGAUAUCUUUGGCAGAAAACAAGGGUCGGCCAGUGUUUUCAUUGGGAGUAGUUAGCAUGGCAGUCACGAGGCCACCGGUGCUUGUUCCUGCAAUCACAUCAAAAUAAUCUGAAAUUCUCGCAUCUUCACCAUCCAGCUUCUGCACCAUGGCCAAACAAUCUAGUGUUAGUACGUAUAAAAUAUAUCCAAUAUAGGAUAUAGGUUUCAGAUUAGGAAUAUGCUAAUUUUAAAAGGCAAAUGGAAAAGCCAUAUUUUGUUAUUAUCAUGUAAAACCUUAUAUUUCCUACCUGAAGCUCAGACUCCAGGAAGCCAAGGACUGUUCCUGGGAUAAGCCCUCUUAUUCCACCUCCAUCGAUGCUGAGAAUGGUGAUUAGAUUUCCAUAAGUUGGAGGCUGUAGGGGUGAUUUUGGACCUUCUCCCAUUAGGGAUGGAGUGAUGGAGGUAUGAACUUGAGUGAUAGAGGAGAGAAAUGAGAGACUUGUUAUUUCAAGAGACUUAGAAUAGAAUUGAAGUUUCUGCAGGAGACUUAGAAAUGUAGAGAGACUUGGAGUUCUCUUUGAUAACUAGACAGGAGUAUUUAUAGACUCCUUAGCAUAUAUCCCUCAUUUUUCUUGCUCAUACUUUUCUAAAUGGACCUGGUUCAAGUUGGACCGCGGAUUCAUCAUUUGGGAUAAGUUGAAAAGUCCACAAGCAACCAGUAUCUUCUUGUUUUAUAGAAGCUAGCCAAAUGGUCAUAGACAUGACUCCUGGCAACUGUAGGUAAGACCAAAGAGAAUAGCUGGUAAGAAGGAUUAGGGGACUCAAUAAAGGUUGAGAUAGGAUUUUUUCCUAACUAAUGAAGUUUGUGAACAGGUCAUGGAAACACUUAAGUCUUAUGAAAUGAUUCUGGUUUCUAGCUAUGUCUGGUGCAAAGAAUCAUGAUGGAGACAAGGCUAAAUGUGCAAACCAAAAAAAAAAAAUUAUUAUUAAAUGCACACAAUUUUGUGUUUGUAAAUCGAUGUGCUUGACUGGGGAUGCCGAUGAUUUUGAAAGAACACCAAUCAGGGCAAUGAAAAGUACUGGCCAACACGGCACUGUGAAUGACAAGGAAUGAUAAUUCAAUGUUAAGCAGCAAGGUUUUAUAUAAUUUCCUGUUAGACAUGAUUUUUUGACCUAAUAAACUCAUGCUUUUCAUAUUUAAUAUCUGUAAAAUUGUACACACGAUCAUUGGCUUCUAUAGUUUGUAGAAAACUACAUGGUUUUCCAAUACUUUUUAUAAUUACAGUUCUGAGUCCUGUGAAUUUUAGAUUAUGUGCAGUGCAAAGACUUGGUUGACUGGUAGUUAUGGCUAACUAAAAAUAGGUUGUAUUAUAUUAAACUACAAAAAGUUUUCAGUACUUUUAUCUUUAUCAAUCUGUGUUAGGCACUUAUUUAGCAAGGUUGGAAGUAUGAAGGGUGACAGCAUCCCCUAUGGACUUCACUUUACCUCGACCAAACAGUGGUCAAUUGGUAUUUAAAAGUUAACUUCACAUCUAUGAACGAAAAAAUCAUGUUUGUUUAUCAUGGUUAGGCAAAGAUGCAACGCAUCCGUGAAGUGAAAAAAAGAAAGGACUGGUCAACUAAGGAAAUCUGUUGGUUGCCGUAGUGAAUUUGCGAACCAUUCACUGGAAACUUCAAAUUUCGAACACAGCAUGGCCUAUUCACUUUCAUGUUGAGCUCAAUCUAGAACAAAAAUAAUACUAUUACAGCACUAUUGGAACAGCUCUAAAGAAUUGGGGAUUGAUGCUGGAAAUACUUUGUUCCUUAUGGUCUUUGCAUGUUAAUCUUAGCUGCUGGGCUUAGCUGGGCAUUAAUAUUCAGAAAUUGUGAGAACUCCAUGCCUGCCCGUAUUUCAAAUCCCAAAUUUGACCCAAACCCUAACUUAAUUGAAAGCAGUUUAGAUUUGAUCUUUUCAAUCAGUGCCCUUGAGUCCUUGACCAUUCCACCCUUCCAAAGCCAUCCCUUCGUUUCUAUUUCAUGGAAGCUAGCUAUCUAUGCUGUAAUGCCAUCAAUCCAUUCCUAACUCUUUGAGAUGCUUUAUCACCCCCAAAGUCCAUUUGAUUACAUUUAUUACUUAUACAGACUUGAUCUGAUCAAGGAAAUAAAUAAUGGACGCAUUCUAUACAAUUUAUUUAAUGAACUCUACUUCUACUAAAAAGUUUUGUUUCAUUAUAUGUAGCUUUGAUCUCAACUUAAAUAUCUGCUGCAAUUCAUAUAUGAGAUAGGGUUUUCUUGUCCUCAUAGUUUGCACAACUUUCUACCAAAGAAGUUCACAAUGUAGAGUAUGAUUUAAAGGCUGGGAUGAACUGAGAAAUGAGUCAAUGUUGAAAAUCUAAAGGUAUUUAUUAGUAUAGUAGGGCAGUUUUGUAUUGGUAAUAAAUCUGUUGUAUUUUCUGUUUUGUUCUGUUUUGUAAUCUGGUGAGUCACUUACGAGUGUAGUUCUUUAGGCUCUAUAUAUAGGCAUGCUUUUGGGUAUUCUGAACUGAUCUUCAGAAAACAUGAAUGAAUAGAAGAUUUUCGUUGUAAACCCUUUCCCUUUUUCUUCAGAAACAACAGUAUUGAAACCCUUAAUUAACUAGCAUUUUUAUUUACUCUGGAUGAAGAUGGGACUGAAGGAAGAGUGCUUGAAGUUAAUUUCCUUUGUAACCCAUCCAUUUUGCUUCAGCUAAGAUGAAGGAAGAAGAGAAAUCAGCCAAUAUAAGGUAGAUUCAAUUGGAGUUAGCGUUCUCUUACUUUAGCUUAUUGGAUCCCUAGACCCAGCUAAUUAACCAGGAGCACCACCCACCAGCAGUUUAUGUCCAUUGAUAAAUACAAUCCUAGUUAGUUCUACACUGCCACGACCUUAACCCCUGCCUUGAACACCAGACCUUGCUGUCCGGGAACGCUGGCCAGUAAUGGUUAAUAGAGUCCUAGGGAAACCACAGAAAAAUAAGACAUUCAUAGAUUUUUACAUACGUUCAUGGACUCUUGUAUUAACAUUUUUGACUCGUGUAACAUUUGAGGAAAAAAGUGUAAAAAGAAAAUAAAGAAGGAAAUUAAUAGAAGAAAAGAAAAUAUGAAGAAAAAUAAAUAAAAUUUUAAAAUUAAUUAAUUAUUUUUAUAUAUUUUUUUAAAAUUUUAACUAAUUUUAAAAAUAUUCAAAUUUUUAGUAUUUUUUAUUAUAAUUUCAAAUUAAAAAAUUAUAUUAAACUUUUUUUUUAUUAUAAUUUCAAAUAAAAAAUUUCGGCACCCUAGUUUCUUCGGAGAUUUCUCUCUUCAAAUUCCUCUCUUCCCUUCAAAUUAUAUUCUCUCCAGUUCCCAUGGUUGGAACAGCAGCCAGUACUUGGGUAUGCUAUGUCAUUUUGGUGGUGGUGGCGUUUUGGUGAGUUGUUUGUCACAAGCGCUCUGAGGCUGGUGGAGUAGUGGGGUUGGUGUGGCACUAUUGUUUUGUAGGUGGGGAUUGAAAUGCUUAAAUUCUGAUUCAAGCUCUCUCUCAUGUCUUUAUUCUUGGACUUUCAGCGCCUAUUUCUUCUGCCACAAAAGAGCACUAUAGUCCUUCUGAAACUUUCACAAUAUUACCCACCAUCAAACCUAAGAUAAUAUUUCACCCAACUUGCCUCUUCUGUUUUUGAUAAAGUAACAAUCCGUGAUUGUGUGGGUGCCAACAAAGAGGAAAAUAAUUAAUUACUAUCGAGUUUUAGAUUUAAUAACUGUAACCAAAGAAACUGGUUCUGGGUUCUUGCAUUAAAUUGUGUUUAAGCAUCAUGUCUAAUUCGUUUCAUUUGUUUUGCAUUAAAUUGCAUUAAACAUAUACAACUUUUUUCAUUUUUCGGAUUGAACAAGUUGGUUUCUACUUUCUAGGGAGGAUACUAGGUUUUGUGAUAGUAUGAAGCUAUUUGAUGUUUUAAGUGUGUAAAGAAGAAGUUAGAGGACUCCCUGUACUCUUUUGAUGAAGUAUGUAUGGGCAUUGAAGUCUUGUACGUUAAGCAAAUAAAGAAGUUGUAUAUUGAUAUAAUAAUACGAGGCAUGUACAUAUAUAACCUUAUGGAGAUCUUUCUGGUCCACUUAAUUUCAAUGAUGUGUAUUUGCUUUGAAUUUGAAUUCUUGGAUAUGGCCAUCUUUGGAGGAAUACAAUACUGUAUGAUCUAAAAUUUAACAGUAUCCAUUUUCUUUGGCAAGAAGAUAAUCCCAUAGAGAGUGUGGGAACUUUAGGUAAGAGGACUCUCAAAGAAUUGUAGGUAAGAAUAGUUAGGUGAAGUGGUCAAGCUGAACAUGAGAUGGAUUAUACUAACCAGUCAAAAACACUAUGUAACAAAGGCGAUACUUUGUUUAUAAAUAACUGUGGUUCAAGUGUCUAGCGACAUGAUAAGGGGGACAUACCUGGUUGUUGCGAUCAAGAAUUGGUAAUUGACAUUCUGAACAUACUUUAUUAUCAUUAAUUUUUUGUGAGAGGUGGUGCCUUAUCUGGUUGCGGAGGAGUCAAUUGGUGCGGCGAUUAAUAGGUAAUGGCAUUUCCAUGUGCCAACAGCCAAUAAUACUAAUGACCAUGAAAGCGUCAAUCAGGGUGGCGCUGAUUGCAGGGCAACCUUGUGCAUCAAGAAUGAAUAGUACUAGAGAAUUCAACAAAUUAAGGUAUACCAUUCUGUUAUGCUUCCAUAAAACUUUCAUCGCUGAAUGGGAGAAUAGUUUGGUUUUGACAACUUAGACUGUAGAAGUCUAAGCUUCCAUCUCGUUUUAGCCUAACUUUUUCCUUGUCCAAUAGUUUAUACUUUCUUUCUUAUUUUCCGUAAAUUUUUCGAUGCUAAAAACAUAGGCUUGUUCACACAUUACUUCUAAUUAAACAGCAUGACAAUAAAAGACCACUAGAUGUUUUUCAGUUGCAUCUCUUUCAGCAGGUUUCAUAAUUUUGAAAUAUAAAAGCAAAAUCCUAUUUCUUUUUCCCCUUAAUCACUGCACCAUGUAUUCCAAGUAGUAAUUCUGUUUUGAGCAAGAUUUGCAUUUCGUAUGCAUAACAACUUCCAUAUGCAGUUACUGCUCCUUGUGUGACAAAUGGGGUUGAGAGUUGGGGUAUGCUUAUCCUUUUACUGUCAUGGUGAACUGAGAAUGGUUAGUUGUCCAUAAGCUCUGGGGCUUUGUUGGGAGGAAGAGGAAGAAGAAGUCCUUUUACUGUCAUAGAAAACUGAGAAUGGUUAGGUCCAUGAGCUCUAGGUCUUUUCUGGGAAGAGGAAGGCUAAAAGGAAGAAAAAGAAGAUACAACUGAUGUACGAAGAAGAAGAAGAAGAAGAAGAAGAAGAAGAAGAAGAAGAAUCGUUGAAUGGGCACCUAGCCUUCACCGUAUCUUAUUUGAUAACUGGAACUGGGACUAUAUAUAACUUGAAUAUUAAGGCAUACUACUCAAAUUUUCCACACUUGCCCUAACAAAUAAAAUAAGAUUAUUGUGGAAGAUGCUAACAUAUAUAUCCUAAACUAUUUUAAAUGUUAAUUGAGGAAUGCAACAUCACUUCAAUAUUGUUGUCUUCAAACAAGGCACACAACACAUCAAGUUAUCACACUACAUGGCAUUUAUUUAAUAAUAUACUAAUUAAUUGAACUGGAACUGAUAAACUUCAAUUUAAGAUUAUUUCUGAUUAAUUUGCUGCACAUCCAUCUGGGAUUUGGCAUCAUGAAGGCGUUUCUCUUGUGACAGUACUUCUGCAAACCUGUGACAUUGAGAGCAAUUCGAUCAGUAUUAAUGAAUGAUAGAAGAACAGGUGGCAUAUGUAGAGGGGCUUGUUUAUUAAUCCGGCGUAUUGUUGUUUGUGAUCACAUGCGUUCUCAUCUGAAAUGAAAUUACUAUGUAGUUUUGAUUCAAUAAUUAGUGGACAGAAUUUUAUACAGUAAACAGAUUUACAAUGAGAACUGAAUCUAAGACUAAUUUGAUACCUCAUGAGAGCCUCUUCAUUUGUCUGUUCACUUGAAGGCUCCAAAUUUGAUACCACAAUCAGUUGGCUUUAUAGAAAAGAAAUGAGAAUUUCCCCCACAAAUCUCGUUAGUCACUUCACCACUGAAAAUUAAAGCCUGAAAGGGAUCAAUAGUAGGUCACAAUUAUUAUAACAAUUCAUCACUCAUUUGUUUUUCAGUAAUAGAUAUACAAUACUGGAUUAUUGGAAGCUACUGUUAUUUCGACAUUAAAAUUAAGUGGGUGCCCACUAACCUAGUGUUUUAAUUUUUAUCCACUUAUAGCCAAUUAAAGAAUGCCUAAAAUAGUUACUAACUGUUGUAAGGAUAUUUACCCUUUGAUGGAGUGGGUAAAUAAGAAUAAAACAAUUAUUAGAAUAACACGUUCAGAAUAGUUUUCUGAACGAUUAUUCUUAGCCCUAUUCUCCUAUCUAUAAAAGAAAGAUACAAAACCCCUUUUGUGAGUAAGUUCUCUUCCAUCAAUUAAAGGAAAUAAUUAUGUGUAUUAAAAUUUGAUAAGGAGAAGAAGAGAUUAAGAAUUUAAGGUUUACAAAUUGAAGGGGAUCUCUCUAUUUAACAUGGCUGCGUGUUCUUCAAACGGUAUGUAAUCAAUUCUUUAAAUUUUUGAGAUGUGUUGAAUUCAAUGAUCUUUAAUUUGUGUGUUAAUUUUCGCGUUAAAUACUAACAAUUGGUAUCAGAGCCAAGUUGAAUUCAAAUAUUCAUAAUCAUUGUUUUAUAAGGAUUAAAUUUUUGAGAUUUUAUCUUCAAUUAAUUGGUCUCACCAAAACGAAUAGGAGAAAAUCUAAACAAAAUAAAGACCAACCUCAGCGCGUAGAAUGAAGGCACUGUGUCUUCCUUGCAACGCCGACUGGAGCAACGCAGUCCAAGCGCCGUUUCAUUUUGGGCGCCGCUACCAAUGACAGGGAUGACACUUGCGAUGCCGGUGAGGGGCGCCGUUUUGGCGCCGGUCCGGUGGUCGAAAAAGGUGUCAUUUGGCGCUGUUUCAGACAUUCAAGAAGUGUCAUUCAAGGAGCGCAACAAGGCCAUUCUAGGGGCCCUUCAGGGGCCAGUCCAAGCACCAUUUGCAGCGUCGUUCCAGGCGCGCUUUAGGCGCCAUGCCAGGCGCAUUCCAGGCGCUCCAGCGAUGUCGUAUUUAGGUGCUCCAGAAGCGCCAUUUCAGGCAAUCUAGAUGGCGUGUAGGCGCUGUUUUUUAAGCGUUUCAAAUGUCGAUGAGAAGGGCCAGUUUUGGGCGCUGCAGGCGUCCGUUCCAAGCGCUGUUCAAGGAUCGUUCUCUAAUGCAUUAUUAGACAAUUUAUAAAUGUAAGGUUAACUAGUUUAGAUAGUUGCCAAAGUAACCUAAAUUAGUGAGCCUUGUAUUUAUUAAAUUGCAUAAAAGAAUAAAGGGAGACUUGUAAAAUUCUUAAUAAUUCUCUUUAUAAUUAGGAGAAUGAGACUAGCCCAAAGUAGAGUCAAUUUCUGCUAAUUAUUAAUUAAUGCUUUUAUUUUGUGUUGCUUAGAAAAGUAAAAUGGAUACCCAAAGGUAACAUAUAAAUGACACAAAAUAGUAAAGUAUUUUAAGCUCCCUCCAAGUGAACACUGGAUAUGUUAAAAUUUACCCAAAGGAGAAUUUUAACGAUAUCAAUAGUUCAUUGUUAUUUAUUUUAUACUUGAGGCCUUAUUGUGAGCAUUGUUCUAUUUUGUACAGUUUCCACUUCGUUACACUCUCUUGCAUCUAGAAUGACUGUUUUUGAUGGGUCAAACUUUUCUGAAUGGUAUGAAAGGGUUCAAUUCUCACUGGGCGUAUUGGAUCUUGACCUGGCUUUAAUAACUGAUAAACCUCUUGAAGCUAUGGAUGAUAGUACUCCGGAGUAGGUGGAACAAUCAAAAGCCUGGGCAAAAUCAAACAGACUCAGUUUGAUGUUUAUGAGAAUGACUAUUGCCAAUAAUAUCAAGACCUCUCUCCCUUAAACCCAGUCUGCCUCGGAAUUUCUGAAAUCUGUUGAGGACCGCUUCAAACGCGCUAAUAAGUCCCUUGCAGGCACAUUGAUGGCUGAAUUGACCACCAUGAAAUAUGAUGGUAAAAAAUGUAUUCAACAACAUAUUUUAAACAUGACUGAAAAGGCUGCAAAGCUUAAGGCACUAGGCAUGAGUAUGGAUGAGUCAUUUUUGGUACAAUUUGUCCUUACCUCACUUCCAUCACAGUUUGCUCCAUUCAAGAUCCACUAUAAUACUAACAGCAAUCAGUAGAACUUGAAUGAGCUCACCAGUAAAUGCAUACAAGCGGAAGUGAGAUUAAGACAAGAAGGACAUAAUCUUGCCCUUGCUGUAACUCAUGGAGUCACAAAGAAGAAAGGAAAAUUCAGAAAAGGAAAGAAUUUUCCACCUAAGAAAAGUGGAUCUAGGGAAGGUAGUCAGAGUCAUGAUGAAAAAUUCAUGGUAAGUUGCUACUUUUGUGGCAAGAAAGGGCAUGUGAAGAAGGAUUGUAUCAAGCGCAAGGCUUGGUUCGAAAAAAGAGGUAUAAAUCUUUCUUUUGUAUGUUAUGAAUCCAAUCUUGCUGAAGUUCCUUCAAAUACUUGGUGGAUCGAUUCUGGAGCCACAACUCAUGUGACUAAUUUAAUGCAGGGAUUCCUUACAACCAGGAAACUGAAGGAAAGUGAAAAGUUCCUCUAUAUGGGAAACCAUCUCAAGGUCGAAGUGGUAGUUGUUGGUACCUAUCGCUUACUCUUAGACACGGGUCAUAUGAUGGAUCUUUUAAACACUUUUUAGGUACCUUCUAUUUCUAGGAAUUUAGUUUCUUUGUCCAAAUUAGAUGUUGCUGGAUAUUAUGUUUUAUUCAGUUCUGGACAAUUAAGUUUGUUGUUAAAUUUUAUUACAGUUGGUUUUGGUAUUUUAUGUGAUGGUUUAUAUAAAAUUUCCUUGAAUCAUGAAUUUGCACAAGCUUUGAUAACCCUGCAUUCAAAUGUUGGUUCAAAACGUGGCUUAAUUAAUGAAAAUUCUUCAAUCUUGUGGCACAGAAGAUUAGGGCAUAUCUCUAGGGAAAGAAUUGAGAGAUUAGUGAAUGAAGGAAUUUUACAAAAUCUUGACUUCAUUGAUUUUCAGGUAUGCCUGGAUUGCAUAAAGGGAAAGCAAACUAAACAUACAAAGAAAGGUGCCACAAGAAGUAAUGAGCUUCUUGAGAUAAUUCAUACGGAUAUUUGUGGACCACUCUAUGUUCCAUGUUUUACAGGAGAAAUAUUUUAUCACCUUUAUAAAUGAUCUAUCUCGUUAUGGUUAUGUUUAUCUAAUGCAUGAAAAGUCUCAGGCCAUUGACAUCUUUGAGAUGUUCAUUAUAGAGGUCGAGAUACAAUUAGAUAAAAAGAUUAAAAUUAUGAGAUCAAAUCGAGGUGAUGAAUAUUAUGGCAAAUAUGAUGAAUCAGGACAAAAUCCUAGUCCUUUUGCCAAAUUCCUUGAAAAGCGUGGCAUUCAUGCUCACUACACAAUGCCUAGUACGCCACAGCAGAAUGAUGUUGCUGAAAGGCGUAAUCGCACAUUAAUGGAAAUGGUUAGGAGUAUGAUGAGUUACUCUCCUGUACCUAUUUCAUUGUGGGGUGAAGCCUUAAAGACUGCAAUGUAUAUAUCUUGAGUAGAGUUCCUAGUACGACAGUUCCAAAAACUCCUUUCGAGUUAUGGACUGGUAGGAAACCUAGUUUGAGACAUAUACAUAUAUGAGGUUGUCCAACGGAGGCAAGAAUCUAUAACCCACAUGAGAAAAAACUUGAUUCGAGAACGAUAUCUGGACAUUUCAUUGGCUAUCCGGAUAAAUUGAAAGGGUACAGAUUUUACUGUCCUAACCACAGUGUGAGAAUAGUUGAAACCCGUAAUGCCAGAUUCUUAGAGAAUGGCGAAAUCAGUGGGAGUAAUGAACCAAGAAAGGUAGAUAUUGAGGAGAUAAGAGUGGAUAUCCCACCACCCUUUUUACCUCAAGAAAUUAUUGCCCCUCAACUUGUUCAACAAGUUGAGGAACAUGAGCAACAUAAUAGAGAUGGUUCAUUACCACCAGAAAAUAUUGCCAUUGAAAAUAUUGUAGAGCCACCACAACUGGCACCUUUAAGGAGAUCUCAAAGAGAAAGGAGACCUGCCAUUUCAGAUGAUUAUGUGGUGUAUCUAUAGGAAUCUGACUUUGAUAUUGGGAUAAGGAAGAAUCCGGUUUCAUUUUCACAAGCCAUGGAAAGUGAUGAUUCUAGUAAAUGGAUGGAAGCUAUGAAUGAUGAGUUGAAAUCUAUGGCCCAUAAUGGUGUCUGGUAGUUGUAAACCCAUAUGCUGUAAAUGGGUGUUUAAGACAAAGCGCGACGCUAAAGGCAAUACCAAAUGAUUUAAGGCCAAACUUGUGGCCAAAGGUUUCACUCAAAAGGAAGGUAUCGAUUAUAGAGAUACCUUCUCUCCAGUUUCCAAGAAAGAUUCACUUAAAAUCAUCAUGGCACUUGUAGCUCAUUUUGAUUUAGAGCUACAUCAAAUGGAUGUGAAAACUACAUUCUUAAAUGGGAAUUUGGAUGAAGAUAUCUACAUGGAACAACCUGAGGGGUUCGCAAAGAAAGGAAAUGAACACCUAGUUUGCAAAUUAAAGAAAUCCAUUUACGGUAUUAAACAAGCUUCCAGACAGUGGUAUAUUAAGUUCAAUAAUACCAUUACAUCUUUCGGAUUUAAAGAGAACACUGUUGAUCAGUGUAUAUAUCUGAAAAUUAGUGGGAGCAAGUUUAUAUUUUUGAUACUGUAUGUGGAUGAUAUUUUGCUUGCUAGCAGUGAUCUUGGUUUAUUACGUGAAACCAAGGAACAUCUCUCUAAAAACUUUCAAAUGGUUGAUAUGGGUGAGACAAACUAUGUUAUUGGCAUCGAGAUAUUUAGGAAUCGAUCUCAAGGAGUGUUAGGUUUAUCUCAAAAAGGAUAUAUUGAUCGAGUUUUAGAGAGAUUUAAUAUGCAGUCAUGUUCAUCAGGUGUUGCACCUAUAUUGAAAGGUGACAAAUUAAGUAAAAAACAAUGCCUAAGGAAUAACAUGGAAAGGGAGCAAAUGAAGAAAAUUCCUUAUGCAUCAGCUGUGGGAAGUUUGAUGUACGCUCAAACAUGUACAAGACCAGAUAUCAGCUUUGAUGUUGGCAUGUUAGGAAGAUACCAAAGUGAUCCAGGACUCAAACACUGGAAAGCAGCAAAGAGGGUGAUGAGGUACUUACAAGGGACAAAGGAUUAUAUGCUCACAUAUAAAAGAUCAGAACAAUUAGAGAUUGUAGGUUACUUGGAUUCUGAUUAUGGUGGUUGUCUCGAUAGCUUAAAGUCAACUUCAGGAUUUGUCUUUAUGCUGGCAAAUGGGGCAAUAUCGUGGAAGAGUGAAAAAUAAUCAAUUACUGCUUCAUCCACGAUGGAGGCCAAGUUUGUUGCUUGUUUUGAAGCCUCAAGUCAUGCUUUAUGGUUAAGGAAUUUUAUCUCAGGACUUGGUGUUGUCGACUCUAUUGCUAUACCUUUGAGAAUAUAUUGUGAUGACAUCGCAACUGUUUUCUUCUCUAAGAAUGGAAAAUUUUCUAGUGGAUUGAAACACAUAGAUUUAAAGUAUUUAGUUGUUAAAGAAAGAGUCCAGAAACAACAAGUGUCAAUUGAAAAUAUUAGGACCACACUUAUGGUUGUUGAUCCAUUAACUAAAGGAUUACCUCCAAAGGCAUAUUUGGAACAUGUUAUGAGGAUGGGUCUUUUGAGGAAUCCAUACUAUGUAUGAUAAUGAAUGGUGGUUAUGUAAUUGACAAUUUACGCAUUAAAGAUUGUUUUUGUUUAUUCUUGUUUUCAAUUAUGGGUGCACGUUUUAUUGUUUGAUAAACAAGAAUUAUCCCGACAAGACAAAUUACAGGGCCUGUUUGGCAUUAAGGACUGGGUUAGUUAGGGUUAUUGAUGUGUGGUGCAUGGAAGGAAACAUGACAUUAUGGUUAUGUGACCGCCAUGACUCGCAUUUAUGAUCUAAACUGAUUCAGUAUUAUGGUAUAUGAUUUUGGACGUAUUGGCUAUGUUUAUUGAAAUCGUGAUCACGUGUCAAAUUUAUUUUCCAGUAUAUAUUUUAUAUAUAAAAGUAUAUAUAUUAUAGUUUUCAUAAUCGGUUUAGUGGGCAAGUGGGAGAAUGUUAUUUCCACGUUAAAAUUAAGUGGGUGGCCCACUAACCUAGUGUUUUAAUUUUUAUCCACUUAUAAAAGUUUUUAGCCAAUUAAAGAAUGCCCAAAAUAGUUAAUAAUUAUUGUAAGGAUAUUUACCCAUUGAUGGAGUGGGUAAAUAAGAAUAAAACAGUUAUUAGAAUAACACGUUCAGAACAGUUUUCUGAAUAGUUAUUCUUGGCCCUCUUCUCCUAUCUAUAAAAGAAAGAUACAAAACCCCUUUUGCGAGUAAGUUCUCUUCCAUCAAUUAAAGGAAAUAAUUUUGUGUAUUAAAAUUUGAUAAGGAGAAGAAGAAAUCAAGAAUUUAAGGUUUAUAAAUUGAAGGAGAUCUCUCGAUUUAACAUGGCUACGUGUUCUUCAAACGGUAUGUAAUCAAUUCUUUGAAUUUUUGAGAUGUGUUGAAUUCAAUGAUCUUGAAUUUGUGUGUUAAUUUCUGCGUUAAAUAUGAACAGCUACUCCAAAUAAGAUUGAAUUUUCUAAUUCUUCCUGUGACAUAAUCUUUGAGAGAUAAGUUGGAGCAGCUAGCUGAAGUUCCUAUGCUUAUCACCGAGAGUAAGACAUCUAUGCUGGGGUGCUGUUUGACCUAGAUCACCAUGAAUAUCAAUAGUAAGUAAGUUUCUUUUCUGAUAAUGAGGACCAUGAAAAAAAAUGGUGAAAUAGUACAUUCCAAAGAUUUUUGUAUGCAUAACUAACUAAACCUUAAUGUUGGAGAAAAUGGUGAUGAACUCUCAAUUUUCCUAAAAGCUUAAGUUUGAAGGAUUUGAGUUCAAUAUGCAUAUCAUGCUCCUUAACACCCUCAUGUGAUCCUUAACACCUUCCCUCACAUGCGGUCCCAUCCCCACACGCGAAGAGAUAAACAAAAUUUGGAUUCAUAUCUAGAAAAACAAACAGGAGAUAUGCAAAUUAAGACCUUCAACCAAACUAAGCUUUAAUACCAUCUUGAACUACUAAUUUUCCAAAAAACUUAAACUUAUAGUAUUUAGGUUCAGUAUGCAUAUCAAAUGAUGGUUAUUCUUUUGUAAUAGGAUGUAAUUAUUCUUUUGUAAUAGGAUGCAUAUUAGGUCUCAUAACCAUUCUUUUACUCAAAGGGUGUCUUAAAUUGACCCUAAGUUAAAUUAUUCUUAAAUUGUUAACUUAAAAACUUAUUACUUAUUUUUAUUUUAUUUUAAAAAUUAAGGUUGUUUGGUUAACUUAAAAUCUAUUUUAAAAUAUCAUAUUAACAUAUUUAUUCUCAUUAAUUUUGAUUAAUAUUUAUAUUUUAACUAAUUUUAAAUAAUAAAUUUAUUUAUUAAAUAUUCAUAUUUAAAGUAUUGUAAAUAUAUAAGAUAAGUGUAAAAAUAUUAACUAUAAAAUAUGAAUUAAAUGUAAAGUCAUGAUUAUAAAAUAUACUCCCACUAAACAUGAGUAAAUGAGGUAAAAAAUAUUUGACAUUAAGAGUAAAUUAAUUAUUUUAAAGUUAUUAAUUUUGACUUUAAAUUGUGAUAUUAAAUUAUUUUAGUAAAUAUGUUUGAUCUCUUAAUAAAUUACAUGAAAGCAUUAAAUUAUAUAAAGUUAUUGAAUUGAUUAACCAAACAUCUAAAUUAAAUUAAGUCAUUAAGUUAUAUUAAGUUAUUAAGUUGAUUAAUGAAACAUUCUCUAAAUAUGAUAAAUUUUUUUUUUCCAAUUAUAUAGUUAACCUUCAAAGAAGGAAUUUUUCUAGACCCAUUCCUUUGCUUUUCGUUAAUGUUGCAUGUUGUCAUGUUCAAUCAAGUGUGUGAUUUCAUAACUUAAUUAACAUUGAUGAAAAUUUAUAUAUCAAAUAAACAUUAUUUUCUUACAGAAGCAAUUAAUAAAUGACAAAUUUGAGGUAUACAGCUUAGUACAAUCGUUUGGGAGAUAAAAAACAAAAGAAUCAAUCAAAUUACAAUAUUUUGAAGUACAAUUAUUACUAUAUAAGCAGCCCAUGCUUUGGCCAUUGGACACAUACAGCCAAGGGUAACUGGUACCGGAACAAUGAAGGGUCAAUCUCACUACUUCAAGUUUUUCUUGGGAUUUGGUGAUCUUGUCUCUCGGAGUCUCUUCUCAUCAGAGAGUAGCUUUGCAAACCUGCAAGGAGUAGGUAGUCAACUGUACUGUUAUAAAAGAUCUUUUAUACUUAAUGCAAUUAUACAAAUGUUUAAUAUCUUGUUCAAUUUAAUUUUUUUCUAUACCUUUUGAGAGCCUCUUCAUUAGUGCCGCAAUUUUCAACUGGCACAGAGAGACCUGUCUCCAAGUUCACCCUUGAAACUGGUUUCUUCAGCAGCCUUUCUCCGAUUUUCACAAGGUUGCCCAAGUUUUCCUUGGUGGUGACAUCAACCGUAGCAUUCGUUCCAUGUAAUGUAUCAUCCUAAUUUGACAUAGUUCAAGCAAAUAUUCAAUGCACAAGAAGGUUUAAGGCAAAAGCCAAAUGGAAACAUGAGCAUGUAUUGGAGGAGCUCACUUGGAUUCGGAGGUAGUUAUCUUCAGAAUGAAGGGCUUGGAAAACCACGGAAAUAUGGAAAUCAACCAUAUCUGCACUUGCUUGCGUAAACACAUCCACCAAAGGAGUGGAACCACCAUGAAGUAGCCAACCCAAAACGCCCCAUUUGGCUGCCAUUUUGGCAUUGUAUUUCUGUUCUGACUUUGGAGAGCCAGUUCCUAUUGAGAUCACUAGAAAGCGGCCAUAGUCCAUGGGUUUAAUUGGUAAGAAAUCUGGGUUUUUGUCAAAAACUUGUUUCGUUACUUGGCUUAUGGCAACUAAAGCCUGGAUCAUGGUGCCAAAAGAAGAAAAAAGAUAAAAGUCAGCUUAAUAUAUUUAAAUUCUGACACUUUGUUAUAUAUUAUUGCUUUAAGUGGUUAUUAUCUUACCGGAUUAUUUGCUGCGACACCACCAUCAAUAAGAUUGAGUUCCCGUGCUUUUCCUUCUUUAUCUUGGUUUUUAAAGAAAUAGGCCGGAAAGUAUGUUGGUGCUGCAGAGCUACCAAUGCAUAUGUCAGCCAGUGGAGCAUCCAAACUUGGGGAUCUUUUAACCUGCAUGAGGUUAGUUAAGAUUCUGUUACAUGUUAGCCAGGUAAUUAAUCUAGACUCACAAUCCAAACCCAAUUAAAUGGAGGGCCGAAACGGUAGAGCACGAGAGAGAGAGAGAGAGAGAGAGAGAGAGAGCAAGAUCAACCUCAUAGGAGGAGAAAAUGCUUGGCUGCAAACUCUUGAUAUCAAAAGUUGGAAUAACCACACUGGUCAAGGUCUGAUGCAACCGAGUCCUUCCUAGUUUCUCCUUUAUGAGGUUGUGAAGGUAUUUCCCAUCAUAAUUGGGCCCAACUAUUGAUCUAAAAAUAUUCAUGAUCCAGCCGAAAAUACCCCUGCCAUUAAACAAAAAUUCUUUUGUUAGUUACCAUAUGAAAUUCCAAAACAAGACGUAAUCCUAGGUUUUCACAUACUCUAUAUGAAUCGAUCUUCAAAAGAGAAGCAAGAACAAUCUGUAUCAAAUAUUACCUUCUGUGUGGAAAUAUUUUAGGGCCGUGCUCAAGAUAAAAGGGCUUGAUGUCUUUGGCUGCGAAUAGAGGACGUUUCUCAUCAUUCGGAGCAGUUAGCAUGGCAGUCACAAGACCACCUGUGCUUGUUCCAGCAAUCACAUCGAAGUAGUCUGCAAUCCUUGCAUCAUCACCAUCCAGCUCCUGAUAUAUUCAAUAUUGUAUUGUUUGUGGUUAGUGUUACCUAAAUCCAUUAUUUUAUCUUAUAUUUGACACUUGGACCACAGUAACAUAUUUGAGGAUUAUUAGCAGGUUGCAUUCUUUCUAAUUUUCAAUAUAUUUGAGGAUUGCAUAUAUAGGCUAUACGCAAUACAACAAAUUUUAAAAUAUGUAGUAUGGUAGGUAGGUGAGCGGGAUUGAAUAAGCAUUUGGAUUGUAAUUGUUCACUGUUUUUUAAAGUUGUGUAGUGAUAAUUUUUAAAGAAAAAUCGCUCCAAGAACCCUACUUUGACAUGCAGUAGAAUAUAGAGAUGAAAUAUGUGCAAACAUCAUCCACAUGAUAUUAAAUAAUUUAUACCUGAAGUUGAGAUUCCAGACAAGCAAGGAUAGUUGCAGGAAUGAUGCCCCUGAUACCACGUCCAUCAAUACUAAGAAUGGUGACUAGGUUACCAUAAGUUGGGGGCUGGAUUUGAGGUAAGAGUGAUUUCUCCAUCUGAAAAAUGAUAAUUAUAGGAUUGUAUGCACUAACUUACAACAAGAAACUAAGAAAUCCUUGGAUAAAAGAAAGAUGUGAAGAAAAACAAAAGGGCUUGAGGCACCAAGAAAGAUGGCCUUGAGCAAGAAAAGGAUGAGAAAAAAGAAACAAUGCUCGAGUUGUCUUCCCUCUUGUGUUGGAUUGCAUUGUCCAGAAUCUAUUUAUAGGCUAAUCGAGCAGCAAGGCACGUGCUAUAGAAUGCGGUUACUGACGAGUAGGUAACGUGAUAUGAUGAUGAAGUCUGCUUCUAGCACAGAGCCCCUUUCCCAGAUAUUCUUUUAGUUUAUGUGGUCAACACACUCCAUUAAUAGGAUAUUCUGUGUGCAAGUAAUUACACACAGAAUGAAGGCGGCUGGCCAGAUUUAACAUGAGAAAAUUGAGUUGAAUGAGUCUAAUAUUAAAAUCACAUUGUUCAAAAAUAAAAAACAGAUGAAGUCUGCUCCCACCAAGUUUCCAUACCACAUUUUGAAGUAUAGUUAGUUCUCGUUCUGAUAUUAAUCCAGACUAAGGCUGGCAGCUUCCAACACUGGUAUAAUAGCAUGUUUUCCAUCUUUUUUUUCUCCCCUGUAUAUACACAUAUUAUAAAGUCCAUAGUAUGAACCUUGUUUCAUCGUUAACAACUAAAGAAAGAUAAAUUAAUGAACAUGCAAAUGAACGCUCAUGCUUACGAGGAUGAUUAUUUUGAUAUUUUAUGAUAGUACAACUAGCAGUCUGCUUUGUCAUGCUGUUGCAUCCUCCUAUUCUUGUAUUUGUGUGUAAGGGACAAAUCAAACUUUGAGGAUUGCAUGACAACACGACAUCAUGCUCAUCACAGAUGUUGUUCAAUUGUUCAGUUUAUAUAAACAUGAAACACAUGGUACGGAGAACCAGGACAAAUCAACCUCUUAAUCAUUACAUACACGGCAUCAUGUUCAUUAUAAAUAUUGGUGAUGACAUAAUAAUAUAUGCUAAAUAGGGUGUAACAAAUAAAAAAAAAAUUAAGACUAUGAAAGUGAAAUUAGAGAAAGAGUGUAUGUGAGAGAAACCAAAAAAAAUAAAAAAAUAAAUUUAAAACAUGAUGAAGACGACGGUGAAGGAGAUGUUUCACCAAACAUUUCAUUAUUUACUAAAGAAAUAAGUUUGGUUUAAUCUUCCUUGCAAGCUAUCUUACUUUUUUUUAUUACAACCUAUGCUCAAUUAUGCAAUGAUUAUACAACGUCAUUUCCUUGAAAACGACAUUGAUUACUUGGCACUAUAUAAUUUGCAUGCUUUAUUUGUUGGUAAUAUUAUGAUUUUUUACUAUAAUAUUCUUUUCAUGACGGGUGGUGUCGGCUCCAGAAAGGCUGCAUCAGUGCACAGUGAUUCUCAAUCAGAUAUUAGGGCACCCAGAUAAUAUUUUUGUGUUUGUGUCACUGUUGUCCUUUAAAAUUAUUUAUCCUUACAUCUAAAUAAUUUGUUUUCUUGUGGUUGUAGAUUUGAUAUAAAGUUGAUUCAGAUAAACCAGUUUUUAAUCUUGAAUUUAAAAAAAGAAUAAUCUAAAAUAUAAUGGUGAAAAUGAAAAGAAAAAAAAAAUGAAUACCAUUCCUAAAUGGAAAUCUUGGUAAUUGAAAAACUUCGUCAACAUAUACCAAUGGUUUAUUAAUGGCUAUUAAAGUUUCAUGUAGGGACUAAAAUUUCUUGACAUAUCUUCAAUGGACAAAGAUCAUUUUUCCAAAAAUAAAUUGUCUUUAAAUGUAUUGAUUCCUUUUCUUUUGCGUUAGGCAAUGGAUGUUCUUCAAGUGAAAACCACACUUGUAGAGUUGUGUCCACACUAACAAUCAUACCAAGUACUUCUGUCAUUAUACCAAACAACCAAGAAAUGAGUAGUCCAACAUUCUUAGUCCAGGCAGUGUGUUGAGGGUUCAAGAAAAACUUUUCUCAGUUGUAUCCAAGCCAACAAUCAUACCAAAUGCUCUUCUAUCAUUAUUCCAAACAACCAAGAAGUGAGUAGGUCCAGGCAGAGUGUUGAGGAUUCAACAACUUUUCUCCAUUUUCAUCAAAUUUUUCUUUUGCGAGCUUAUUAGCAUCUAUGAGAUGGUGUGCUAUUCCAAGACUUCUAAUAAGAGGCAGAACUUGUGAACACCAUAGAAGAAAAUUAGAAGUGUUUAAUUUAAUUGAUACAAGACUAAUGCAUUGGUUAAAGAAUUGGAUAGUGAGUUUGGGUUCAUCUUGACUGACCAUAUUUGAAAGGAUUGGAUUAUAGGCUCUGAUGCCAUGUGAAAACAAAAAAACACUAAGCAAACCUUUGAAGAUUAUUAUACAGAGAGAAUGUAUGUACAAUUGUCGGGAUGACUUUUAAUAAACAAUGACAGAGUUAUACACAUUAAGUAAUAAGAAAAUUUUCGAGAACUCAGUAAUGACAUCAGUUAUUUAGUAAGUUCCCACUUGGUCGCAUCCUGAUGAAACUUGAGAAUUAAGGUGCUAGUGAUUGAGCUCAAUUUGAGUAUUGCAACUAAACACUUCUUAUAAAAAGGAAAUGGAUGAGAAAUGAGAGGGAAUUUUUUUUGAGCAAACACACUUUCUUUCUUAGAAUCCAAACUUGAGGAAUACAUCAUAAUACAAUCAUUUUUCUGUUUACAUAACUCAUUUUAUCAUUACUUUCUAGAAAUUUGUUUGUGUGCUCCCUACAAUUUAAGUCAUGUAAAUUGUAGAUAAGAUGUCCAAUGCCAAGACUAAGUGGACUGUUAGUUACUGAUCAGGUUUUCCCACAACACCACUCAACUGUUAAAAUGAUGAAACUAUUGCAUAAAGGUAAGGUAGGUAGCUAAUUAUAUCUAAAAAUAAGAUUAAAUUAAAAUAGCUACCAAAAUUUUUUACUUUUAUCUUUAUCAAUCAGUUCUGGGCACUUAAUUUGCAAAGUUGGAAGCAUGAAGGAUUACAGCAUCCUGAAUGAACUUCAAUUUAGGAACUAAAGGUAGCUAAUUGGUAUUUAAAUUAAUUGAACAUUGUUUAUCAUGGUUAGGCAGAGAUGUGAGGCACCAGUGAAGUGAAAAAGGAUAGGGCUGCUCAACUAUGGAAAUCUGGUCGCCCUAGUGAAUUAGUGAACAAUUCACUGGAAGCUUCAAAUUUCUUGCACAGCGUGGCCAAUUUCAUUUUCAAGUUUAGCUGAACCUAGAGCAGAAAUAAUACUAAUACAGGAUAAUUCCAACUUCUCUACAGAAUUGGGAUUAUGGGUACAUAUGCUGGAAAUACUUUGUUCCUUGUGAUCUUUGUAAAGCUUAUGUUUAUCUUUUUAAUCAGUGGCCUUGACCAUUCCACCAUUCCACCAUUCCAAAUUAAGCUAUCACUUCAUUUAAUACCACAGUCCAUGCAUGAACUAUUUUAUUCUGAGAUUAUUUUUUUUCACCAUAUAUAAUGAUGCUAAAUAAAAGGAACUAAAUAAAAAAUCAAAACACACGACCCUGCAUCACACCUCACUAGUUUACUUACAGACUCAAUACUUCACAUAUAUAUGCAAUGCCUUCUCCUGGUUAGAUCUUUCAUUUUCACAAACUGAACCUACAAACCCAUAUAUAAUAGGAUGGGUAACUAACCAUGGCAGAACUAUUACUUUUCAUGGAAGCUAGCUAGAUAUGAUCUAAUGUAAUUAACAAUGCAUUCCUGAUUCUUUGUGAUGCUUUAUAACAUGGGAAGUCCAUUUGCUUACCAUUUAUCACAUAUAUAGACUUGAUCUGAUCAUGGCAAUAAAUAAUGGCAAUCCUUUAUAGCCCAGCUACUUUUGUUUAAGGGUUUUCUUUUACCAUGCGUACCUUUGAUAUCUCAACUUAUGUGCAUCAAUUAACAUAUAUGAGAUAGGGGUUCAUGUCUUCCUAGUAUGCACAGCUUAAUUUCUACCAAAAAGUCUCACAUGUGGAGGUAUGAUUUAAGGGCUUUGAUGAAAUGAGAAAAAUGAGCUAAUGGCAAAAUUCUGAAGUUGUUAAAACACUGAAUCAACUCGCAUUUUCAUUUACUUUGGAUGAAGAUGGAGCUGAAGGAAAAGUGCUUGAAGUUUUCUUAAUAAUCCAUCCAUUUUGCUUCACCUAAUUAGAUGAAGGGAGAAGCGCAAAUAUAGAAGGUAGAUUCACUUGGAGUUUCUCUUACUUUACCUUACCGGAUCCCUAGACCUAGCCAAUUAAUUAACCAGGACCACCACCACCCAUCAGUGGUUUAUGUCCAUUUAUAAAUACAGUCAAUUAUAUGCUGCCACGUCCUUCACUGUAACCCCUGCCUUGUAAACCGGUCCUUGCUGUCUUGAAACGCUGCCCAGCAAUGGUUUAAUAUAGUAUGAGAGAAACCACAGAAAAAUCUAUAGGACAUUCAUAAAUUUUUAAUCAUUCCGUGUCAAACAUACCCGACUUUAUAGUUUCUGACUUCUUCAGGUUUUUGCUUGUUCCACAUCCAGCAGGUUUUUAACUUUAUGGAGUCAACAAUUUCAAGCAAGUGACAUCUUAAACGUUGUUUUCUGAAAAAAAAAAAAAAAAAUCAGAAAUCUAACUCACAUGUAUCCAAUAGAAGAUUGUAGCAAAAUUGAAUUGCAAACCAAACACACAAAAGAAGUCCAAAAGAAUAUUUCAUUCUUUCACAGUUCAUUAGCAAUAUUACAGUCUACCCGUGAUUAUUCACUCUCUAAACAAUGGUUAUGGAUCUAAAUUAAUGCCGAUUGCAGCUAACCAAACCCAAGCUAAGGGGAAGUUUAUUACAGCACAAUCAAUUAUAGAAGAAAAUAGCUAAUUUUAAAUUGAUGAUGCCCUACAUGCUGCAUGUCCAUGAGGCGAUUUAGCUAUGAAGCUUCUUUUCUUGGGAGAGCAGGUUUGCAAACCUGCAGGAUUGAAAGCUACUUAUUGUGAUUGUGAUAUUGAUUCAGAAAAUAAAAAAUAAAAAAUGUAUUUCUACAAACCUUAUGCGAGCCUCUUCAUUGGUCUCCUGAUUAGUAGGAACAAAGAUACCCGACUCCAAAUUAAAUUCAUCCUUGAAACUGGUUUCUUUAGCAGUCGUUCCCCAACUUUUACAAGAUUUUUUACUUUCUUCCAUGGCAAUAUCAACUGAAGAUACUAGUCCUUUUAGGGUAUCAUCCAACAGUUUAAUUUUUAUUUGAAGGUGUCAAAAGUAGUGUUAUGGUGGACCAGAAAACAAGGAAGAAAAUCAUUUUUCAUCUCCAAGAAUAUAGAGGAUUUUAACAACAAUAGCUUUGAUGUUGUAUCAAUGCUUGUAUAAAGACGUGCAUGAGCAUGUAUGCCUACCUGAAUCCGAAGGUAAUUCUUUCCCGAGAGAAGGGCUUGAAAAACCAUGGAAAUAUGGAAGUCUACCAUAUCUGUGCUUGCUUGUGUAAACACAUUCACUAAUGGGGUGAAACCAAUACUAGUUAACCAUCCCAAUAUAUAUGGAAGUCAACCAUAUCCAUAAUUGUUUGUCUUUAAGUUUUUCCUUUACAAGGCUUUGCAAAAACUUUCCAACAUAUUUUGGACUUAGUAAGGCUUUUGAUUAUCUUUAUAAUGAGGUAAAACAUAACUGUCAUUUAGGAAAAAAAAAAAAAAAAAAGAAGAAAAAAAUCAUGUUAACAACUAUAAAAAUAGUAACUUUGUGACAUUCAAUUCAACAUAAUUAUACUGGUUAAUGAAUUCUUUGGUUGUGGGCAAAUUUUAAGAGACUGAUUAAGGUAGAGAUUCUCAAUGCCUUUGGCGGCAAACAUGGGGCAAUUGUCUUACUAGGUGCAGUUAGCAUGACAGUCACAAGACCACCUGUGCUUGUCCCAGCAUCAUAUCAAAAUAGUUUACAAUUCUUCAAUCCCCUCCAUCCAACUUCUAAACCUAGUAGAAACCACUUAGAGUUAAUACUUGCAUUAUAAUAACCACUGUUAACAUCAACACAAAUGAAGUGGUAAUAUAGAAAAUUGUUGCAGCUUCAAAAACGCCCUCCAUUUAAAUAUACACAGGUGAAAAAUGGCAUAUAUGCCAAAAUUCUGGUUGAAUUGAUAUGGCAGAGGUAGCUUGUAGAUAUGAAUGUCAUGAUUAGUAUCACUCUUCAUAUAUGGAAUAGAAGAGUGAUGCUCCUGAUGCUUGGGGAGCUUGUUGAUAUUUAGAUCUUACCUGAAGUUCAGACUCUAGAAAGUUAGGGGUAGUUAAUUCCUAGGAUAAUCCUUUUUAUCCCACCUUCAUCAAUGUUGAGGAUGGUAAUUAAUUAGAUUCCCAUAUGUUGGAGGUUGCUAGGGUGAUUUUAAUUUGCUCCUUCCAUGAUGGUAUGAAGUAAAAGAGAUAGAUGUAUAGACUUUCUUUAGAAAAAAUUAUAAGAUCUUGAAAUAAAUUUUAAUAGAAAAAGAAAUUGUAAGACUGAAGUACUCUUUCAUAAAGCAUGAGAUAUUAAAGUUCUACCAAGUUAAGAGAAAGAAUCUAUGAAUAUGGAAGACUUACGUAACAUGGGUAUCUAUGUUUAUAGCAUGAUAUGUAAUUUAAUUUUUCCCCUAAGUUUCAUUAGUUCACCGUCUAUACUUAAUUCUUUGACUUUGUCCCUACAUGUACUUUCCUUGAUGUGGCUUUGGUUGGAGAUGAUGAUCACUAACAUGGUUAUCAUUCAAUGAAAAACAACUGUUAAAUCAUUUUAUCAUAAUGGAAAGAUGGCCCUUGUAGGCACUCAAUAUGGGAAUUGUAGGUAGAGUACUACUCUAAGAGAAUUUUAGGUAAGACUAAUUAGGUAAAUGCGUAUAGCUAAAAAUGGAAUGCAUCAAUCCAACCAAACUAUUACCCUAAGCAACAAAGGCCACAAUUUCUAAAUAAAUAACUUAAUGUGAAUUGUAGUAUCUAGCAUGUUUACAUGAAAAUAUUCUUGCUUGCAUGUUGAAUUCAAGAAGUUAGUUUGUAUUCUAAAUGUCGCUUUUUUUUUUUCAUAAUAGGUGGCGCCUACAUUCUAAACACCAACUUUUUUCACAAUAGGUGGCGCCUACAUUCUAUAUAAACAUCUACCAUUUUUUUUUUUUUUUUUUGCAAUAUGUGGUACCUCGUCAAGGUGCAAAAGAAUCAAUUGGUGCGAAAAAUUUGUAAUUCAAUCAAAUCAAUUCCACGGGCCUCAAAAAAUGAGAAAUAAUAUUGAUGAUAUGACAAUGAUGAAAGCCUCCAUCAAGUUGAUGACGAAAGAGUCAAAGCCUCGAUCAAGGAAGGCAGCUGAGUGUAGCAUGCAUGAACCAACAAUGAACUCUGGUUUACCAUUUAGUUAUGAACAAUAACAGGAGUGUUCAACUUUGAUUUACCUUUUUGCUAUGAACAAUUUCAGGAGUCGUCAACUCUGGUUUAAUAUUCUGUUAUGUGGAGAAACCUCCUUAAGAUGUUUUCACUGUUGUUUACACGGUGGGGCACAAGUAAUUAAUACUGCAUUUCUUUGGAAAAGGCGAAGCCUAAGGGAUACAAUUGGGAGUGGAUGAGUAAAACGGGGAAACCAAAUUUGCCCAACCUAACCAGAAAAACUACCGUAGCAGUUGUGUAUACAGAAAGAGCAUUUAUAUGUGCAGAAAGAAAAGACGCCCAAACCCCUUCAUUUGAUGCCUUGUGCAACAGAUGCGGAUUGGGAUAUAUCUGCUCCCAAAAUGGAGAAUAUUGGUGCUGAAGUAAUGUGCUGAAUAUUGUUAUUAGAAUGGGAUGAUAUGUCAUUUUGAAGGCGAUGGAGUUUUGGUUAGUUGUUUGUCACGAGCGCUCUGAGGCUAGUGGAUGUAGGUGGCAUUAAUUGUGGGUUGGUGUGGUUGUGUUGUUGGUGGGGAUUGAAAUGCUUAAAUAUUGAUUCAAUCACUAUGGAGGGAUUUUGAUAUAUUUUUUAUAUGAAAGAAAGUGAAAGCAUUUAUCAGGUUUCCUCUUGAGCUUUAGAGAUCUUUAAUCAAAUUAGAAGCCUUAGAUAUAUUUUUUUUAUGAAAGAAAGUGAAAGCAUUUAUCAGGUUUCCUCUUGAGCUUUAGAGAUCAUUAAUCAAAUUAGAAGCCUUAGUAAUGAUAUUCUGGAAAAAUAAAAAGUAUUGUUUCUAAGAAGGUUGUCAAAAAAGUUUGAUCAUGUAGUUGCUGCAAUUAAAGAAUCCAAAGAUUUCUUAAGAACCAGAAUUAAUGGAGCCACUUAAAACCACAUGAGCAAAGAAUCAACAAGCAUUCCAUUUCACCUAUGGACUAAGCUUUUCAAUCAAAAACCAAUGUUGCUGAUAACAAAGGUUUUAGGCAGAGAAAGUAAAAGGACGGGGGUUUUGGGUAAUGGGCCUAUCUAAGGCCCUCCUCUGUGUCUUCAAAGUUGGUCUAGUUUGGGGCCAGGAUUAAAACUUGGCUAGCGUGAAUGGCCCAAGAAGAAAAAUGGCAAAGUAAGAUGUGGAAGAGCUAAGCAUGAGGAGUAGUGGAGAUAGUUAGUGCUUGGAGUUGUAACUACUUAAAAUGGCAAAGAGAGAAUCAAUAAUGAGGAGGAAAAUGCCCCCAUAGACUCUACACCUAUCGAUAGAUGAAGGGUAUAUCAAUGCAACUGGCUAGGCCAUCACCAAGAGAGAGGUAAGAAAGAACAAUAAGAAAUACUCUUUUUUUAUAAAUAAAAAAUAAAAAAAACAAAAAAAACCCCAACUAACUUAACUAUUGGAGAAGCUUAUCUCAGGGCUAUACCGGGUAAGCCUUGUGUUGCAAGUAAAAAACGCACGGCAAGUAGAAGAUUAUAGCUUAAGAAAUUUUCAACUCCAACAAGUGGCGUCAUUUGUGGGAAGUUUCUAUGUUGAAGUAUAGCUUUCACUUUGAACUUGACGUAGAACCCUUUUCUUUUUGUCUGGAGUUGGAAGUUAGACAAUGGGAGACAAUUAGUUGUGGGAUUCAAUUAGUACAACAAUCCCCCGGAUGGCCACUACCUCAAAAACUCUUUGCGAGGGUUUUGAAAGAUUCUAGGUGGAGCAGGAAAGGAGAAUGGAAUCCAUUCUUGCUCAAACUGAGUUGCUAAAGCAAGAAAAUGCCUUAUUGCAGAAACAACUAGAAGAUCGGCAGGUUCGCAGUCAAAUGUUGCAUCAACCAGCAAGCAAUCUUGAUCAUAUACGCCAGCAAGAUAAUGAUGACAUGGUGGAGCCUUUAGAUCAUGCAGUUCCCCUUGGUCAAGCUCCUCACACCAUCUUAAACUCGCAUAGGGGACACCGCCCAUCUGAUGCUAGGAUUCCAAGAAUGUUGGUCACUGAAAAAGUCGAUGAGGUAGACAACACCUCUCGGCGGGGAUCCCAACACCCAUUAUAUUCAAACUCAGGUAGCCGACAACAAAUGAGAUUGCCCUAGGUUGAAGUCACGAGAAGGAUGGCUCGACCCCUGUCUUUAGCAGUUUGGCUCCCUCAGGAACGUCCAAACGAAUUGCCCCUAAGGGCCACAACUUGCCACUUGAAUGAUAUGAUGACAAUGUCAUUUGAUCAACAUAUUAUGAUGUAUGAACCCCCAAGAGGAUACACCAUUCCUAAGUUCGUCAUGUAUGAUUGUACAUAUGAUUCAUUCAACCAUUUAAUGCAUUAUCAAAAAAUGAUGACGCUAGAUAUCGACAAUGAUGAACUCCCUUUGUAAGGUGUUCCCAACGAGUCUCCAGGGCAUUGCCCUAGCUUGGUUUCACCGGUUUUCCCUUAAUUCUAUUCACUCCUUUAGGGAGAUGUCAGAAGUCUUCGUUGCGCACUAUUUGUGCUUAGCAAGGCAGAAGUUUAAUAUAAGUAGUCUUCAGAACUUGAAUAAAAUAGAAAGUGAGACUUUGGGUCAAUUCAUGCAUAGAUUCAACCAAACAAUGCUCUAGAUAGAAAGAUGCAAUAUGGAUGCUUUACUACAAGCAUUCAAACGCAACAUUGGCCUUGGGACUCCAUUCUUUGAAUGUCUCUCGAAAAAAUCGCCAUAAAUAGUCAAUGACUUGUUUAGAAGGGCCAAUAAGUAUGCCCUGUUGGAAGAAGAUUUACAGGUUGUUGCCAGCCCUGUUUUGGCAUCAACACAGACAACACGAGCAAGAAAAAAUGCAGGAAACAAACGUCAGGGCCCGGGUAAUCCCUCAUAAGACAAGAAGUCAUGUAGGAAUCAGAAAGACCAAAGAACACCCCGAUGGUGGACCCCACUUAGCUUGACUUAUGGACAGUUGCUUCCCAUUAUGAGUAGUUUGCCCGAUUUCAAGUGGUCUUUCGCUCUCAAGGGACUCACCGCAAUGAGAUCAAACUCGACAUUGUGAAUAUCACAAAGAACAUGAACAUACUAUAGAGGAAUGCCGACACUUUCGUUAUUUGGUGGAGGAAUGGUGAGAAUCAGCUUGAUCUCCCAAUAUGUCGAGAAAAGUGAACGAUUGACCAUUGGGAGUAACAAGCAAGUUGUAGCUGGCAUGGUUUAGCCAGAUGGAACCCUGCCAAUCAUUCACAUCAUUCAAGGAGGGCUUGUGGAUCAAUGCUGGAAGUCAAAGCGCCGUCGACGAGCAAUGAUCUAAGAAGCAAUCGAUGUCGAGAAGAUUAGCAUGGAACAAUAUUCCUUUGUUCCAGGGACAAUGGAACCUAUGGAUGGGGUUGUCUAUUUUAGCCCUUGGGAUCCGGCCUUGGUAAUAGUGCCCCAUGAAGAUGCUCUUCUCUUGUCACUCAAAAUUGCUAGAUUCCAAGUCUGUCAAGAAUUAGUUGAUCCUAGUAGUUCAGUUGAUUUUCUCCACAUCUCGGCUUUUGAGUAGAUGGGCAUCCCAAUUUAUACUUUAGGAGGCCCAGAUUGAGUACUAACAUACUUCAAUAGCUUAACAUCCUGGUCUUUGGGGAAAAUAAUUUUGCUAGUAGAAGCCAGCCUUACAGCCCUAAACGCCUGCUUUUCAGUCAUAUUAAAUCCUUCGCCUUAUAACACUAUACUGAGAAUAGAAUGGAUUCAAAAAAUGAAAGCUACCUCAUCAACUUAUCACCAAAAAGUCAGUUUCCUUAGAAAAAUGGGACAGGUUGAUCUAUUUGGAAGCUAACUAGCAGCAAGGCAAUGUUAUCAGGUAAAUGUCAGGCUUGUAGGAGAGGAAAUCGAAAGUGUCUGCACUGACAGUGAGGCCCAACAGAAAUAACAAUUACUAAAAAAAGGGGAAUGAGCAAGAGCCUCUAGUCGUUGACCCACUCGUUUGCAUAGAAAUACAAAAUGGGGGACGAUAUAGAGUUACUUAUGUUAGCUUUAUGCUGACAUAGCAAGAGAAAUAGCUAUUAGUAAACCAACUAGAUAAGAAUGCCAUACUUUUUCUUGGAAGUUUUCUAACAUGUGAGGAAUAUCCCCUGAAGUGAUUAGCCUUAAACUUGGGAUCCACCUAGAAUCAAAGCCUGUUUAUCAGAAAGUAAGGAGACUCAAUUAAAAAAAGUAACAGAUAGUUCAACAUGAAAUAUCCCGAUUGCUCGAUGUGGGAUUCAUUCAAGAGGCUAGCUAAUGUAGUAGUUGUGCCAAAAAAAAAGGCAAGUGGAGGGUCUGUAUUGAUUUUACUAACCUAAAGGAGGUGUGCCCAAAAGAUAGUUUCCCUUUACCACACAUUGAUCAAACAGUUGAUGCCACUUCAAGGCAUAAAAUGUUUUCAUUUAUGGAGGUCUUUUCUGGCUAUAAUCAGAUUCCCAUAUAUCCUCCUGAUUCAGAAAAGACAACAUUCAUAACCCCUUUCAGAACUUUUUGUUACAAUGUUAUGCCUUUCGACCUUACGAAUGCAGGAGCCACUUAUCAGCGACUCAUGACAAAGAUAUUCUAUCUUAUGUUAGGCAAAACAACGAAAGUUUAUAUAGACGAUAUACUUGUAAAAAGCUAGAAACAGGAGGAUCACUAUGCAAAUUUACGACAAGCUUUUAACCUAUUGUCGCACUUUGGGAUGAAGUUAAAUCCAACUAAAUGUGCAUUUGAUGUAUCUAUUGGUAAGUUUUUGGGUUUCCUAGUCAUAGAGUGUGGUAUAGAAAUAGAUCCUACUCAAAUAAAGGAAGUACAAGAGUUACCUUUUCCACGUAAUAAAAAAGAAGUACAACAUUUAAUAGGAAAAAUGGUUGCAAUAGCCCGUUUUAUCUCCCAAUACACUGACCACCCGAAGCCUUUCUUUAAUGUAAUAAAGAAAACCAAGAUCUUUGAAUGGACAGUGGAGCACGAGGAUACACUCUUAGUUAUAAAGAACUAUUUGGUUUCGCCCCCAAUCUUAAAAAGUCCUCAAUUGGGAAAUCCCCUAUUUUUGUAUCUAGCAACAUCAAAAUUGGCAAUUAGUGCGGUUUUGUUUAAGUUGGGCCUUAAUGGAAGUCAAUUACCAGUCUAUUAUGUUAAUAAGGCGAUGCUACUGGCCGAGCAAAACAAUUCCCUACUAGAAAAGGUGGCGCUGGCCUUGUGAGUGAUCUCAAAGAAGUUGUGCCCCUACUUUUAGGUGUGCCAGGUGAAUGUUUUAUCUAAUGUCCUUUUUCGGGCUAUCUUACAUAGGCCUGAGUUGUUUGAGCAACUAGUAAAAUGGGCCACAUAGUUGAGUGAAUUUGGUUUGCUGUAUUUACCCCAUUUGUCACUCAAAUGACAAGUCUUAGCAGACUUUAUUGUUGAAUGGCCAGAUUCUAAAGUCGCUCAGACCAAAUGUCAAUGGAAUGCUGGAUUCUUUAUGUUGAUGGAGCGUCACGUGGUGUAGGAGCGGGAAUAAGGCUUGUCCUGCAAUCCCCCAUAGGAGAAUGCUUGGAGCAGGUAGUUCGGAUGGGUUUUUGCACUUUAAACAACAAGGCUGAGUAUGAAGUCAUGCUUGUCGACAUAGGCCUGGCAUUGUCAGUCCAAGCUAGCCACCUCAAUAUAUGGAGUGACUCACAGCUAGUGGUAAACCAAGUGCAAAGCGAUGAUGAAUUAAGAUAUGUUAGAAUGAUGAGGUAUCUUGAUAAAGUUAAGCUUCAGCUUCAAAAAUUCAAUGAGUGGAAGAUGACUCAGAUCACUAGGGAAGAGAAUGCUCGGGUAGAUGCAUUAGUCGAGGUAGCAAUUUCCUUAGCAGUUACGCAAAUAGUAACUUUGCCCAUUUAUUAUCAAGACAAUCCAUCAAUACUAAAAAAAGGCCAGGUAAGUCAGGUGUAUGAUGCCCAAGGAAGUUGGAUGGGACAGAUUAUUAAGUAUUUGGAAGUAGGGGAACUCCCAGAGGAUGAGCAUCAAGUGCAAUAACCACACUGGUCAAGGUCUGAUGCAACCAAGUCCUUCCUAGUUUCUCCUUUAUGAGGUAUUGAAGGUAUUUCCCAUCAUACUUGGGCCCAACUAUUGAUCUCAAUAUGUUCAUGAUCUAGCCAAAAAUACCCUUGCCAUUAAACAAAUUUUUUUUUUGUUAGUUACCAUAUGAAAUUCCAAAACAAAACAUAAUCCUAGGUUUUCACAUACUCUAAUAUUGUUAAUGUUACCAUAUAUAAUUUAGGAAUCAUAUUGGUUGUACAUAUAGGAAUGUUAAUGUUACCAUAUACAAUUUAGGAAUCAGUUAGACUCCAUGUAUAGGAUAUAUAUCAGUAUAUAGAUGGAUGCAGUGAAAUAUAAAAAAACUUAUCAGAGUUAUUAGAGCAAGGUUUCGACACCUUCCGAGUGGAGUUCGUGAUCUUCUACCAAUCAAAUACUUGGCAUCGAAAACAGUGUUGAUUGGGUUCAUCGCGACCUAGUUCUUGGCCGUUUCUAUUCCAAUUCUCUUGUGGGCUAUUUCCUUUGUCUCUUGGUUGCAUCAUGUCAUCAGAUAAGUUGGAAUCAUUUCCUAUUAGAUUUACUAGAAAAAAUUAUUGUGCUUGGGAGUUUCAAUUUAAAUUAUUUGUUAAAGGAAAAGAAUUAUGGGGUCAUAUUGAUGGAGUAAUCUUGCACCUCGUGAUGCCAAGGCUUUGUCUAAGUGGGAAGGUGAGGAUGCUCGGGUUAUGACUUGGAUCCUUAGAUCGGUUGAACCUUGUUCUCAAUAUGAGGUCUUAUAAAACUAUUGCUACUAUGUGGAAUUAUCUCCACAUGGUUUACAAUCAAGACAACUCUGCUAGGCAUUUUCAAUUGGAGUAUGAGAUGGCUAAUUUCACACAAGGAAGUCUCUCAAUUGAGGAAUAUUUUUCUGGUUUUCAAACUCUUUGGACUGAUUAUUCUGACAUUGUUUUUGCUAAUGUUCCCGCUAUAACUCUCUCUGUUGUCCAAGCAGUGCAUGUAACCAACAAGCGAGAUCAAUUCUUGAUGAAGCUACGACCCAACUUUGAAAUUGCAUGGUCUAAUAUGAUGAAUUGUCAUCCUGUACAAUCUCUGGAUGCCUGCUCAAGUGAACUUAUGCUUGAGGAGCAGCGUAUCAUAACUCAAGCUACCAUGGAACAUCGUGCUAAUGUUAGUGCACCUGUUUCAGUGGCUUAUGUAGCACAAGGCCAGAAUAAGGGUUGAGACAUGCGUGUUGUCCAGUGCUUUAGUUGUAAAGAUUUUGGUCACAUUGCUUAGGAUUGUCCCAAGAAGUUCUGUAACUACUGCAAGAAACAAGGUCAUAUCAUCUCUGCUUGUCCCAUUCAGUCUGAAAGGAAGUAGGGUACUGCUUAUCAUGCCUCCACCUAUGCCUCUAGUUCUGCUGCAUUGCCUGUUGCCUCGUCGGUUGUUCCUAUUCCUGCUCCUACAGUCUUAGAAAACUCGAACACACUCACUCCUGAAAUGGUACAACAAAUGAUCAUUUAUGCUUUUAAGCUCUUAGGUAAUCAUACGGUUUCUUCUAAGCCAUGGUAUUUUGACUCUGGAGCUUCUAACCAUAUGAUGAAUACUGUUAUUUUUCUUUCCAAUGUCAAAAAUUAUGAUGGAAAUCUGAAAAUUAACAUUGUUGAUGGUAAUUCUCUGCCUAUCAGUGCUGUUGGGGAUCUUUCAUCUUCCUUAACUGAUGUUUUUGUGUCUCCUGACCUCUCCACAAAUCUUAUUUCUGUUGGUCAAUUGGUUUAUAAUAAUUGUAAUGUCAAUUUCUCCCAUUCUGGUUGUGUUGUGCAGGAUCAAGUGUCCGAGAAGAUGAUCGCAAAGGGGCCUAAAGUGGGACGACUCUUUCCUCUUCAUGUUUCUCCUUCCACUAUUAUUCCUAGUUUUGCUUUACUUUCAUUUGCAUGUAAUGUUGUUAAUUCUGGACAUAAGAUGUGGCAUAGACGUCUUUGCCACCCAAACUGUGAUGUACUUCAUACUUUGUUUAAUUUUGGAUUAUUGGGAAAUAAAACAUGUUCUUCUCUUGAUCAUUCUUUCGAUUGUACGUCAUGCAAACUUGGAAAAAGUAAAGUUCUACCUUUUCUUCAUUCCAUAUCUAGUGCCUCACAAUGUUUUGAUAUUAUACAUAGUAAUGUUUGGGGGAUUGCACCUAUUGUUUCUCAUGCACAUUACAACUACUUUGUUACUUUCAUUAAUGACUUUAGUCGCUUUACUUGGGUUUAAUUCCUCCGAGCUAAGGCUGAAGUUUUUUCAAUCUUUAAGUGCUUUCUUGCACUUAUUGAGACUCAAUUCUCUGCUAGCAUCAAGGUCUUGCGCUCUGAUUCUGGCAGAGAAUACAUGUCUAACGAGUUUCAGGACUUUUUUCAAAGCAAAGGGAUCAUCUCUCAACGUUCUUGUCCUUCGACACCACAACAAAAUGGUGUUGUUGAGAAGAAAAAUCGCCAUCUUCUUGAUGUGGUAAGAACUUUUUUACUUGACUCAUUGGUUUCUCCUCGUUUUUGGUGUGAAGCACUUUCUACUGCAAUUCAUUUGAUCAAUCGCUUACUCUCUCCUAUGUUAAAUCAUGUAUUUCCUUUCUCUAAGUUCUUUGGUCAUUCUCCUUUAUAUUCUGAUCUUCAUACAUUUGGUUGUGUUUGUUUUGUGCAUCUACCUACUCAUGAACAACAUAAACUUACUGCUCAGUUUGUUAAGUGUGCUUUUCUUGGUUAUGCUAUUCCUCACAAAGGUUAUGUUUGUUAUGAUCCCCAUGCUCGUCAUAUACAAGUUUCUCAGAAUGUGAUUUUCUUUAACAAUCAAUAUUUCUCUCCAUUUCAUGUUGAGCUACCAUCUACAUCUGUAUCUCUUCUGCCUAGUUUUUCUGAAUCCCCAACAAUUGUGGAAAUGUUUAAACCUGGUUUUUUGUAUGAAAGAUAUAGUCAACAUGAGUCCGAUUCCACUUUCUCUGUGUCCUCUUCCGAUCUUGACCUGACGCCUGAUCCUGCUCCUGCUUCCACCACUCUUCGUUGGUCUACUCAUCUUUCUCGACCCCUUGAUUGGUAUGGAUUCUUCUCUCCUCUCUCUCUUAUUGCUACUUAAUCCACUAUUUGUAUUCCCUUUUGCUACAAACAUGCCAUGGAACAUGAGUGUUGGCAAAAUGCAAUGCAAGUAGAACUUCAAGCACUUGAGAAGAAUCAUACUUGGGAUAUUGUUCCUUGUCCUUCUACAAUCAAACCUAUUGGGAGUAAAUGGGUUUUCUCUAUAAAACUUUGUUCUGAUGGCUCUUUGGACCGGUACAAAGCUCACCUCGUAGCUCUGGGUAACAAGCAGGAAUAUGGGGUUGAUUAUGAGGGGACAUUUGCUCCUGUUGCUAAAAUGACCGUGGUUCGGACCAUCUUAGCUAUUGACGCUUCAUAGUCAUGGCAACUACAUUAGAUGGAUGUAAAGAAUGCUUUCCUUCAUGGUGAUCUCCAGGAAGAGAUUUACAUGAAGCUUCCCUCUCGUAUGAUUAAUUCUUCUCCUCAUGAUGUCUGUAAGCUAAAACAUUCUUUGUAUGGGCUCAAGCAAGCGCCCCGGGCUUGGUUUGAGAAGUUUCGCAGUACAAUUCUUUCUUUUAGUUUUACCCAAAGUCAGUAUGAUUCUUCCCUCUUCUUCCACACGUCUGUGUUGGGUAUAGUCCUUCUCUUGGCUUAUGUGGAUGAUAUUAUCAUUACUGGCACUAACUGUGGUUUGAUUACUAAGCUUCAGCGGAUGUUACAUACAACUUUCCAUAUGAAAGAACUUGGACAUCUCACAUACUUCUUAGGAUUAGAAGUUCAUCAUCGGGCUAGUGGUAUUUUCGUGAACCAACAUAAGUAUAUUCAAGAUCUUAUCACUUUGGCUAGUUUGGAGGACACUUAUUCUGUUGAUAAUCCUAUGGAGGUAAAUGUCAAAUACAGGAAAGAUGAAGGGGACCUUCUGGAUGAUCCUACUCUCUAUUGGCGCCUAGUUGGGAGUCUUAUCUACAUGACCACUACUCGACAUGAUAUCUCCUAUGCUGUUCAUCAGGCCAGUCAGUUUAUGACUUCUCCUCGACAUCUCCAUCUUGCUGUAGUUUGACACAUCAUCCGCUAUCUUCGAGGUUCACCUACUCGUGGGUUAUUCUUUCCUACCGGCUCCUCUCUUCAACUUGUUGCCUAUGGUGAUGUUGAUUGGGCUAGGUGUCUGGAUACACGUCGAUCUACUAUGGGUUGGUGUAUGUUUUUAGGUGAUGCCUUAAUUUCUUGAAGAUGUAAGAAACAAGAUUGUGUUUCUAAAUCCUCUAUUGAGGUUGAGUAUCCUGCCAUGUCUACUGCUUGUUAUGAAAUUAUAUGGCUACGCGGUCUUCUUGAGGAGCUUGGGUUUCCUCAGACUACUUCUACACCUCUUCAUGUUGAUAACACUAGUGCUAUUUAGAUUGCCACCAAUCCUAUUUUUCAUGAACGUACCAAGCACAUUGAGGUUGAUUGUCAUUUUAUUUGAGACACCUUGGAAAGUCGGGUGAUAUCUCUUCCUCAUAUCUCUUCUGAUCUCCAAGUGGCUGAUAUCGUCACCAAAGCUUUGACUUGACAGCGACAUCAAUUUCUUAUUGGCAAAUUGUUGCUGGUUGACUUACCAGCAUUAAUUUGAGGGGGGAUGUUAAUGUUACCAUUUACAAUUUAGGAAUCAUAUCGACUGUACAUAUAGGAAUGUUAAUGUUGCCAUAUACAAUUUAGAAAUCAUAUUGGCUGUACAUAUAGGAAAAGAUUGACGGAUUGGCUUACCAUGUAUUUGUUAAUGUUACCAUAUACAAUUUAGGAAUCAGUUAGACUUCGUGUAUAUGAUAUAUAUUAGUAUAUAGAUGGAUGCAGUGAAAUAUAAAAAAACUUAUCAGAGUUAUCCAUUUCUGUGGAGUUUUUUUUUUAGUAUUUUGACAUCUAUAUGAAUCAAUCUUUAAAAGAGAAGCAAGAACAAUCAAGUAUCAAAUACUAACUUCUCUGUGGAAAUAUUUUAGGGCCAUGCUCAAGAUAAAAGGGCUUGAUGUCUUGGGCUGCAAAUAGAGGACGUCUCAGAUCAUUCGGAGCAAACCGUUUAAGAAUUAAACCAGUCACGAACCGCCUAAACCGGCAGUCGGACCGGUGACCUAGUGGAAUGGGACGGUUCUAAUCAAACCGAACAGUUCUAGUUGGACCACCAUUUUAAAGGCUCCUUUGUAUAAAAAGAUUUGGCAAAAGCCCAUGCUAGGCCUUGUCUCAUAAUGACAAAGCCCAUACCCCACUCAACCAUAUUGUGGGCUAAGGCUUGAGCCCACCAGAUGAGGCAAUGCAUUAGCCUUCAAUAUGGAUAGCUUCUAUAGCCAUCCUAGGAGGUACAUAGUUUUUGUUAUCUAAUAUGCCAAACAAAAUAAUAUAUAUUAGAUUUAAAAAAAAUUUGUAAUAUUAAAUAAAAAUAAUAUAAUAUUUUAAAAAAUUAUAAAAUUAGUUUAAAUUUUCAUUUUUAAUAUAUUCACAUUAAAAUAUUUUGCAUAUUUCAUUUAAUAAAAUUAAAAAUAUCAAUAUGAUUUAAUUUGAUAAUAUUAUUGAUUUUUAAUUUAUUCAUAUAUAAUUUAAAAUUUUUAUAAUUAUUUUUAAUUUUAAUAAUAUAUAAAUUAUAUAUUUAUUACGUCACUGGUUCGACCGCCGGUCUGACCAAUGAACCGUGAACUGGUAACUUUUCCGGUUCGAUCACCGAUCCGGUUCUAAAAACAUUGGUGACCACACUUUCCUAUAUUUUUUGAAGACUUUAUGAUUGACGAGUAGGUAAUGUGAUAUGCUGAUGAAGUCCGCUUCUAGCACAGAUCCCCAUUAAUAGGAUAUUGUUGAAUUGGAGAAUGUUUCCACACGCUCAAAAUGGGGCGUUGUUUUAGCAUCAAGAAAUUGUCGUCUUCAUUAGCUUGUUGGAAUUGGGAUGUAUGACUGAUGACUUGUUAGGAUUUAUCUGAAAAUAAAGUCCAAGCUCUGUCUCUGUCUCUCUCUCUCUCUCUCUUAUAAGGACAGUGAUGAUGGUCCAAAGAAGAAUUCCGAAGCAUGCAGAGAUUCACAACUGCAAGUAAUUUACACACAGAGUGAAGGCGGCUGGCCAGAUUUAACAUGAGAAAAUCAUGAUUAAUACAUGAUUCUUCACCAAUAAUUGAGUUGAAUGAGUCUACUAUUCAAAUCACAUUGUUAAAAAGAAAAACAGAUAAUAAAGAUUCAAAUCACAUUAUUAAUGAGUGGGCCGGUCUCAUUUAAGAACACGAUUUGACAUGCAAAAUUAAUGGAUCCAUCCAUAUACAACAUCUACCACAACUCAUGAGAAGAGAUUCUGGUUGUUCUAAUAAUUCACCAUUUUUCUUCAUGGAAUUAGUUAUGAAAUAGUCCCAAUUUAGUACUAAUAGAGAGAGUAUCAAGGAAAAUAUUUGGUAGGUGGGCGGUGAAUCAAGUUAAUUAGAUGGUGAAGAAAAACUAAUGAGAGAUGAACUUAAUCAACAAGUUGUACCUCUUUUUUCUGUAUAAUAUGCUAGUUAAUCCAACUGUGUUAGACAUUGCUGCUACUUACAAGUUAUUUUACUUUAUUAUUCAUUUUUUAAUGUUGGGGGAGGUACUGUCGUUUCAUUGAAAACGAUGUUGUAUUACUUGGCAAACAAAGAUGGUGGUAAGUUUAGAAUAAUGCAAUAUAUGAUUUGCAUGCUUUAUUCCUUGGUAAUACUAUGAUUUUUACUAUAAUCCAACUGUGUUAGACAUUGCUGCUACUUAUAAUUGCGGAACAAAAGGUAAUAACUCUUGCUUGAAAUCAAAUUAAUUCCUGAUAUUCCUUUAUUUUUUAUAUGUACACAAAAUGGCCUUCAUCAUAAGUGCUCUGCAAACGAACUGUGUGCUCCUUGAAUGUGGAGAUAUGGCUGCUCCCACGAAGUUUCCAUACCACAUUUUGAAGUAUAGCUAGUUCUCGUUCUGAUAUUAAUCCACACUAAUGCUGGCAGCUUCCAAAACUGCAUAAUUCCAUGUUUUCCAUCUUUUUUUUUUCCCCUGUAUAUACACAUUAUAACGUCCAUGUUACAUGGUUAAUAACCAAAGGAAGAUAAAUUAAUGAACAUGCAAAUGAAUGCUCAUGCUUACAAGAUGAUUGUUUUGAUCUUCUAUGAUAGUGAAACGACGUUGAUCUCUUCUAUAUAUAUAUAAUUAGUACAACUAACAGUCUGCAUCCUUCUAUUCUUGUAUUUGUGUACUGGGGACAAAUCGUUCUUUGUAUUUGUGUACAAGGGACAAAUCAAAUCAUGAGGAUCACAUGACAACACGGCACCAUGCUCAUCACAAAUGUUGUUCAUUUGCUAGCUCAUGAAACAUAUGGUGUGGGCAACCAGGACAAAUCAACUAAUCAUAACAUGCACGACAUUAUGUUCAUGAAACAUAUGCUAAAUAUGGUGUAAUAAACUUAAAAAAAAAAUUAGAGAAAGAGCGUACGUAAGGGAAACAAAAAAAAAAAAAAAAAAAAAAAAAACUAAUUAAAAACAUGAUGAAGAUGACAAGAUGGUGAAAGAGAUUUUUCACCAAACAUUUGAUUAUUAACUAUAGAAACGUUUGACUAUGUAACACUGCUACCUUUUUUUAAUAUUGGGGUAGGUACUGUCGUUUCAUUGAAAAUGAUGUUGUAUUACUUGGCAAACAAAGAUGGUGGUAAGUUUUGAAUAAUGCAAUAAAUGAUUUGCAUGCUUUAUUCCUUGGUAAUAUUAUGAUUUUUUACAAAAAUAUUCUUUAAUUGACUUGGGCAGUGUCGGGUCCAGAAAGGCUGCAUCAGUGCCUAGUGAUUCUCAAUCAGAUGUAUAUCUGGACCAUUAGGGAACCAAGAUAAUAUUUUUGAUUGUGUCGCUAUUGUCCUUUAAAACUAUUUAUCCUUGCAUCUAAAUUAAUAAUUUGUUUUCUCAUGCUUGUAGUUUUUGAAAUAAAGUUAAUUCAGGUAGACCAGUUUUUAAUCAGACCUCCAUGCAACAUAUCUUCCCAUCCUACCCAAGAGAAGCUACUGAAAGCUCCCAUGACUGAAGAGAGACAACAAGGAUUCUAUCCUUUUGGAUCGACCUAGCACUAUCUUUUAGAUUCUAUCCAUCUAUUUGUUCUCAUCUUAUUUCUGGGAUAUAUAUAUAUAUAUAUGUUUCAACCCAUCUCAGUGUCUCUUGUAGAUUUAUAAAGGAUAAGUAUUAUUUCUAGUCCAUUCUAAUUAAUUGCCAUUCCCAUAAUUUAAGUUGAUACAAAAUUAGAACUUAUUCAAGAAAAUAAUGGAAAUAAUUCAAUCUAGCUUGUCAUUAAAAUGUUGUGAGAAAUAGAGGUCGCAUUAAAUCACAAUGAGUUUGAAUUGCAUAGACGCACGCACAAAAUCAGAACCAUAGAAGAAAUUCAGUGGAAUCUAUGGACUUACAAUACCUUAAUACUAGAAACGCUUAAAUUGGUUAUUAAAAAUAUCCCAUUUGGGAUUUAUUUUUACAAUAAGAAUAGUGAAUUAAAAGGCAGACAUUCAGAAACGGGACUCCAACUUAACUAGAAAUUCAUUACAACAGUAGGAAUCAUUCAUAUCAGACAACGACCAAUCCUUUAGAAGCGGCAGCAUGUCCAUGUGGUGACCUAGUAUCUCUACGUUGCUUCUCUUGGGAGAGUAGUCUUGCAAAACUGAAAAAUUAGAAGGAUUUUUUAUUAUCAUAUGAUUAGUUAAUUAACUAAGAAAGCUCUAGAAUAAAACUCUAAAAAUAGUUAGAUACCUUGUGAGAGCCUCCUCGUUGGUCUCGUGAUUUGAAGGCUCAAAGAUACCUGUAUCCAGGUUAACCCUUGAGACCCUUUUCUUUAACAACUCCUCACCAAUUUUCACAAGAUCAUCCAAAUUUUCCUUUGUGGCUAUGUCGACUGAUGAUGUUAUACCGCUCAAUGUAUCAUCCUGUAUUUACCCUUUGUGUCAGUAUCAGUGGUAGACAAGGAACAGAAGAAGCAAUUGACUUUCAGAUAUUUUUAGGACUGAGGAAAUUAUGAAGAAGAACAAAAUUUAAAUAAGAAAUUUGACUUUGUAAGUGACGGUAAAUUUAUGAAACCACAAGCAGCAAAGCUGUACCUGUAUCCGAAGAUAGCUUUUUUCCGAGUGAAAGGCUUGAAAAAGCUCUGAAAGGUGUAAGUCGAUCAUAUCUCCGCUUGCUUGGGUAAACACUUUCACUAAGGGGGUGGAACCACCACUGGUCAACCACCCCAACACACCCCACNNNNNNNNNNNNNNNNNNNNNNNNNNNNNNNNNNNNNNNNNNNNNNNNNNNNNNNNNNNNNNNNNNNNNNNNNNNNNNNNNNNNNNNNNNNNNNNNNNNNACUACCUUUGUAACAUGAGGAAUUGGAUCAUGACUGCAUUUAAAAGAAAGAUCAUGUUAAUAACUACAAAAAAUAUUGAAGUCUAGUUAAUUUUAUAUACAUAAAUACUAGCAUCCUGUCAUCUUAAUCAAGAUGUUCAUCAUGAUAUAUUUGUUACCUGUGCUGUGGGAAGAUCUUAGGGCAGUGAUCAAGGUAGAAGUCCUUGAUAUCUUUGGCAGAAAACAAGGGUCGGCCAGUGUUUUCAUUGGGAGUAGUUAGCAUGGCAGUCACGAGGCCACCGGUGCUUGUUCCUGCAAUCACAUCAAAAUAAUCUGAAAUUCUCGCGUCUUCACCAUCCAGCUUCUGCACCAUGGCCAAACAAUCUAGUGUUAGUACGUAUAAAAUAUAUCCAAUAUAGGAUAUAAGUUUCAGAUUAGGAAUAUGCUAAUUUUAAAAGGCAAAUGGAAAAGCCAUAUUUUGUUAUUAUCAUGUAAAACCUUAUAUUUCCUACCUGAAGCUCAGACUCCAGGAAGCCAAGGACUGUUCCUGGGAUAAGCCCUCUUAUUCCACCUCCAUCGAUGCUGAGAAUGGUGAUUAGGUUUCCAUAAGUUGGAGGCUGUAGGGGUGAUUUUGGUCCUUCUCCCAUUAGGGAUGGAGUGAUGGAGGUAUGAACUUGAGUGAUGGAGGUAUGAACUUGAGUGAUAGAGGAGAGAAAAUGAGAGACUUAGAAUAGAAUUGAAGUUUCUGCAGGAGACUUAGAAAUGUAGAGAGAUUUGGAGU
rnacentral:lncRNA from 1 species